rnacentral:lncRNA from 1 species
UCUGAACAAAGCAGUUUUAUUGGCUCAAGUGAACGUGCUGAUUCAUGCGGGUCAUGUUCGAAUUCCUCAAUACAUGGGCAUUUGACAUCUGAUUGCAGUACAUUUAGUCUUUCCACAUAUUGUCCAACUUCUGGAGACGUUGCAGGUGAACUUUCCAACUCUGGAUGUAGUUCAGCAGUAGCAUCAAACUUGUUGGCAGAUGAAGAAAAAGCAUGUUCUUCUACAUAUCUGCUUUCUGCCUCAUCUGACCCUUCAGAUCGAGUAUCAUCGUAUCUAUCAGACUGCGCAUAAAAAAAUUUCUUCAUUGCAGUAGGUGGGCAAUAGCAGAUUAGUGAUUCGAAAUUAAAUAUAACUCCCGUUUGGUACCCAUUUUUUUCAAAAUGCAUUUUUCUCUCUCUUCUUUUUAACCACACAUUCUUCAUUAAAAUAAUAUUACACGUAAAUCAAAAACUUUUCUUUAUUUUUCAACCACACAUUUCCCAUCAAUUUACUAUUCUAAAAUGCAUUUUUACAUAAAAGUAACUCCCCAAACACCCUCAUCAUAUAAGCAAAGAUAAUUUUUUUUAUUUUUUUUUUCCCUCUUUGUUCUUCAAAUUGCAUUGGCCUGCUUGAGCAAGGAUAAAAUUGGAAAAUAAAGUAGUUAAGGCCUCAACUAAAACACUGAUCAUCAAAGUCAAGCAAGCCAAAUUUUGUGAAACAGAUGAAGUAGCCAGUUGCUGACAGGUGAUAGCAGUAACUAUCAACUAAUUCUCGAGGGCAAAGUUGAUAAGUGAAAUAUCUGCAAACCUGUUUCAAUUCUGUUCUGGAACCUUUAUGCACACUGUAACUGGAUGAACUUGAAAGGCUGCAUUGUGAUGAUUCCAAGCUUCUUCGAAUGCCUCCGACCAUAUCAGUGGGCAUGUCUACCGUGUAAACAACCACAUCAAAGUCCGGAACCUAACAAGAAUAUAUAUUUGAUGAAUUUUUGUGCAUGCCUAGAAGGUUUUAAACAAAUUUUGCAAAAAUAUAGGAAACUGCUGAAAACACUGGCAACAAUAACCAGGAAGUGGAUCUGGUAUUAAUAAAAACAUCUUACACUUAGUUGCUUAGAACUGGCUUUCCUUGAGAGUGCUCUUAUGCAAAUGCAAACUUUUCGAAUGUCUCGUUUCUCAACAACAUCUGAUGGUGAAAAGAGAUCAAUGCCAUUCAAUCCUAAAAUUUUGCACAUCUACCAAAAAAGGGUGAAUUAAGAAUAUUAGCAAUCAUUUUUUAAACAUUCUGCUUAAACAGGAUAUCAUUGUCGGCACAGACUACCUGCUGCUCCUUGUAAUUUUAAAUACUAAUAAAGUCCUUUCACAAGCUCAACAAAAUACAUUCAAACACUUUGAUAUGGACGUUUGUGCAAAUUAUAUUCACUUCAGAACCCCAUGCUCUUUACUCAUUCCUUUCUCAAUCAUACCUAUCAUUGAUGACUGUCACGAGGUGACCGUAACUUGGCUUGUUACACACAACAGAUGUAGGAGAGCAGUUCAAUAAUAACAUUGUUACAUUCCUAUUAGAGAGGGAUUCAAGAUUUAAUAAGUUCACAACAUAGAACUAUCUUCUGAAAAUGGCACUCUUCAAUGCUUCGUUAUGCAUUUGGUUCAACAGAAAGAACAUGCUGUAAUGUGUACUCAGUAGUGGACACCAUACAAGAAGAACUCUUCUUAUGGAACUUCUUGUCUGAAUCUGUGAUUUUCUUCUUUAAAUCUUGAAAUGUGUAUAGGAGAUUUCACCUGUAUCUAUAAUUGAGUUGACAAGUUUUUUUAAUACUUGGUACAGAGAUGAACCCUAAGGAUGCUACGGCCACAAGUUACUCAUGUGUCUGUGAAGUGGAAAUAAUAUAUGAGUAUUAUCUUUUUCUCCAAGGAUUACAAAAUCCCUGAAGUUCAAGACAAUGAAUGGUUCAAUAAAUUGCUCUAAAAUGAUACUGAAAAACUCAAAAGGCAACUAUAAAUACUUUAAUAGCUUUAGCUCCAAUUAGCAAUUGUCAAUUGAAAAAUAUUUACAAGUAAAUUAUGCAGAGAUGGGGGCAAGGUUAUGAUGUGUUACCUUUAGAAAUAUAUCAACAUUGGAGUAAGGUCUGUAUCUCCCUCUGAUCUUCUUAGAGCCAAAGGGGCCAUGUUUAUGUUUGAAAUGUCUAAACUCCACACAUUUUGCCAACAGCAAAUUCCAUACCACUUUAGAAACUUCAAACCUAAAAAAUCAGACAAGUCAAAAUCAUUGAACACAAUGGAAAAUUGUCUUGUAAAACAACUGACAACUUAACAUUUUCUCAUGCUUUAUAAUGUGCUAUGUACAGCUCGAGAUGAUUUCCUUUUCUCUCCACCAAUCAGCGCAAAAGACAAACCAUUUUCAUUACACUUGUGAAUAAUGGCAUUGCUAAAAUUACACACAUAAUUAGCUAGCUGGAUUUAAAAAUAUGAAUGAGUUCCUAAGAAUUUUUCCAAAAAACUGCCUCAACAAUGUUCACUUAUAGAUUCAAACUGUUUCACAAGGCAGUUCUGAAGGAAAAGAACUCCCAAACCACUAAAUAUCCAUUCUUCCCCAAUUUGCAAUAAUUAGUUGAAAUUAUAACAUACAGCAUUAUCAUUACUCAUUCAUCCCUUGUAUUUGGAUUUUCUUGCAGUGUUAAUAUUAUCCAUAUCAAGAAUAUUUAUUACAUACUGAUGGUUAAUUAAAUGCUGCAUGUUUCUUGUUUCUUCAAAAUUUCUUCACCUGUUCAGCAAGAAAAACGAUAUAAAGAUUUUUAUUUGUAUUCAAUAUAGUAAAAAUCUUGGGAGCCAAUACUUCAUUAUGGCACUAUAACAUUUUCCUGAUAUUGGUAUUUCAUUCUUGAAAAAAGACUGAAGAACUAUAAUGGAACCCACAAACAGGUGCACCACCAAUAAAUACUGGCAAGCUGUUUCCCGUGCCAGGUGAUUAAAUUUCUAGGGAAGCAAAGCAUGUUCUUCAUUGAAAUGAGUUUUUCCUUUCAUUUUCGUAUGGAAACUGAUAAAUUAAACAUUAAUUUAUACUCAGAAAAAAAUGAAGGGAAAACCUGCAGUAAUUAGAUUGUUGACAAAUGAAAAUAGAAAAUGUUAAUAAAAUUCAAGAACUCACAGUAGCUCUCCAUCUUGAAGCAAAUCAGAAAUAUGCAAAUCCUCAUCCAAUCUUGUAUCAAGAACUUCUCCAAGCCAUAUUCUUGUUUGAGUCUGAACCAAUUGAAUACAAAUAAUGAUAUUCUAAUAAUCAAAAUUGCAGAUCAAGAUAAAAAUCAACUGUGGGAGCUUACAUGUUACUCUUACAUCUUGAAUUCAUAAGUGUUUCUAUACACGAAUAACAAGAAGUGAAGUUUGUUCCAAAUAAACUAUGGAUGAACUAAAUUAAUCCUUUUCACCACUCCCUUUGAUGUAAUGUUACAUCUAUUAAAGGUCAAAUCCAAUCUUUUAGCAACCAUAUUACCUCAACCUCUUCUAACAUAUUCUACUGAGACUGCUAGCUUCUUUAGGUUUAUGUGAGGCAUGUCCCGACUAUUAAGUUGUUCUGUCCUCCAUUUGUUGACCUGCAUACUCAUUUCUUAUUCUAUCACACUAUCCCAAAAUCUAAUUAUGCUACAUCCAUCUUUAUGAUCUUGUGAACAUUACGCCCCAUUAACAAACCAAUACUAAGUACUAUAAUCCAUAACUGGUCUUGCAAUCAACUAAAUGUCCACAGAACUUGGUUGUUAACUAGGUAUCUCUCUUCCAAUUAACUAGAUGUAGCACUUUCUUUUUUAUUUUGUCCAACUCACUCGAAUUUUAUUCAGUACAUUCUCUAGAAAUGUUAUUGUGAUUGAACUACACAGAAUAAUCUUCUACUGCAACUAUACCAUCCUUGUAAUUCCUACUACGAGGAAAUUUAAUCGAUUCAUCUUAGUAGUUAGCCUAACACACACACACACACACAUAUACAUUAGAUGUCUAAAAUUACUCAAACUUUCCAAUUCUCGAUUUAUUCUCCUCCCAACAUCACCACUUAAAACUAUAGCAUCAUCAAAUAACAUACAACAGAUCAUCUCCUAAGCUCAAUUAUGAUCAACAGAACGUGAUGGACUCAGAGUCAAAGAAACUUGCCUACUAGUGCCCCCACUAGAUUCAAACUGUCAACUGUUCCGCCAUCCUAAAGCAAAUGCUUUUACAAUAUAUCUCCCAGCCAUAAAACCAAAUGAUUUCUCUAAAACCUCUAAAUGACAUAUUAAGCUACAAUCAAUCAACCUCUCCGGUGAAUAUUAUAAACAAAAAUACAAAAUCAAAAGGGACCUGCAAGAAAACAUCAUCAAGCUCCCGGAAGCUGGAUUCGCCAGAAGACGGAGAAGAAUCGGCGCUUACAGCGGCCACUGCCCGCCUGCCCAUUUUCAUAUAUCCCGCCUAAAACGCAUCUCCCAUCCAAACAACCAAGAAUACAGUAGCACUUGAAUGAGUGAAUGAGAAUGAAAAUACAGUGACAGUAUUAAAUCUUGAUUUAUAAUACUGUAAUAGUGGCAAUGAGGUAUGAAGAGUGGCAGCCUUCUGGGAUUUCCGUUUGUGUGUAUGAAAUUCGUCACUAUUUUCCUGUGGUCGCAAUUUUGCUGGACUUUUUUCAAAUUCGUCACUAAUCUUUCUGGAAAGUUGGUGCCAAAUGAGGCAAACGGCGGAAAUAUGGCGAAAAACCUUUUUGUUCUUUUAUAGUCCUUUUCUCGUGGACCCCACUUUCAAUGCCUAUUUCUAAUUUUUUAUUUUUUAAUACCUUUUCUUUGACUUUUUUUUUCCUUAAAGCCCAAUAUUUUAUUUAAGAUUAUUGCCCACAUUCUAGGCCAAAAAAUACAUUAUUUAUGUCAAAUCAAUGAAAAAUAUAUUGUUUAAAAAUAAGAAAAUGUUUUAGAUUUAUGUAUAUAUUAUUUUAAUGAAAAAUGUAUGAUUAAAAUGAUGUUAAAUCACUGUGAAAAAAUAUAUCUUUUGGAAAAUAAUAUGGCUCAAACAAGCCAAUUAUCGACUACAAAUUUUAGUACUAUAAUAGCCUACAUUACUAUAAGCCCCCGUUUGACACCCUUUAAAAUUCUUCGAUUUUAAUUUAAAUUCUUCUCUCUCUUAUUUUAAACCACAUAAUCUUUAAUAAAAUAAUAUUAUACACAAAUCGAAAACUUUUCAUCCUUUUACAGCCAUUCAUUUAAAAAAAAAACAUUAUUCCCCCUUAUGAACUCAAAUAAUGGGAGCCAAACGAGGGCUAAAAGUUAAACUUUAACGUCUAAAUUUAAUCCAUGUUUGGUCCUUAUUUUUAAAUUUUUUAAAAUUCAAAUUUAACCAUAAAUUCACAAGUUUUAGGCUUUUAGCCCUUGUUUAAGUCCCAUUUAGGGGGAUAAAAUAUAAAUUUGAAUAAUGUAUUGAUGGAAAAUGUGUUAUUAAAAAAAAGAAAAUAUUUUGAAUUUACGUGUAAUAUUAUUUUAUUGAAGAAAUAUGGUAAAAAUGAUGUCAAAAUAUUGUAGAAUGAUGCAUUUUUCUAAAGAAUGGACCUCAAACAAGGCGCCAGGGCAAUCACAUAUUUUAUCAUUUUUUAAAAUUUAUUAAAAUUUUGAUUUUUAUCAAACAAAAAAUGGGCUUAUGGUAUUUCGAGUACAAUCUUUUUACGUGCCGAGUUAUAGAUGGUGAACCGAAUGUUUGAAACAUUUUAUUUAAAAAUUAUAUUUUCUUAAAUUCAUUUUUACAUACAAUAAUAUUAUUCUUAAGUAAUCUUCGAAGAUUAUUAAGCUCAUGUUUGAUGAUUAUCAUUGAGAAAAAAUGAUAUUUUUAAUAGUAAUUUUUUUUUUUGAAAAAUAUUUGGUUAGAAAAUAGGAAGAAUUUUGAAUUUAUAUGCAAAAUAUUUUAUUACGUGAAUAUGUAGUUAAAAAUAAGUAUGAAAAUUAAAAAGUUUAGUUUUAUAUGGGGGCAAAGUAGGGCUAAAUUUGAGAAUUUAUUUAUUUUAUUGGGUUGUGUGAAUUGAAAAUAACGUUGGAUCAUGUAUAAAUGUGGAAACUUAUUGUGUGUACAGAAACUACACACAUAGUAGUCAUACAGAACAAACACGACAAGGUUGGGUGAGGGAAUUUUUUGGCAUAUUUUAUCACAACAUGAGUCUCACACAUAUAAAAUUUUUGACAGAAUUUUAUGAAAUAAUUUUCUGUACAAAUGGAAUUAUUCGUAAGUGUAAGCCACAAGCAUCUAUUGCACACAAUUGUUACGCCACUCGCAAUAGACACGUAUUAGAACUCUGUGCCUAUUAUAAUAGGCUAUGUCAUUGUUAAUUGAAGACCUAAAUUAAGUUCUAUUUGAGCCACAUUAUUUAAAAAAAAAAUUGUAUUUUUCAACAGUGAUUUGACAUUAUUUCGACCACAUAUUCUUCAAUAAAAUAACAUCAAACUUAAAUUCAAAUUUUUUUUAUUUUUUUAAUCACAUAUUUUUUAUCAAUACACUAUUCAAAAAUACAUUUUCAUUUCAAUAAUGUGGCUCAAACAAUGGCUAAAUUAAUCAAAUUCAAAUUUCAUACUCGAAAAUUUUUAAAAACAUGAAUCCAAAUGUAUGAUUUAUUAGCCCUCACUUCUAAUGGACAAGUAUAAGGAUGUCAAUUGGGCUCGUCGACUCAGGUCGUCGUGGCUCCCUCCGAAAAAAGCUCGAGCAGGCUCGACUCAAGGUUUGGGCUGAGGCCCAUUUUGAGGUUCCGAGCUUAGCCUGAGUCGGCCCGUGUGGCUCGCCCAAAAAAAAAAAAAAGGUUUAAUAAGUGCCAAUAAAAAAUAAAAAGAGAGGGGGGGNNNNNNNNNNNNNGUCGAGUCGGCCCUGUGCGGGUCGAGCCUCUUUUUUUUGACGAGCUUUUGUUCGGCUCAGCUCGAGCCCGAAAAAAGCCCGCUUGAUUUUACUCAAACCGAGCCCGAGCUUUAAGUUUCGACUCACAAGCCGACUCGAUUCGACUCGACUCGUUGACAUCCGUAGAUAAGUAUGCAUGUUUCAUUUUUAAAAUGCUAUUCGAUCUGAUGAAGUGAAAUAUAUAAAUCAUCUACAAAGGAGAAUGAUAAAUCUCUUAUUUUUCUUUCCUUGUGCCUGUUUAUUACUUCUUUUUUUUUUUUUUUUUUCCCGCCCUUUUUUUUUUUUUUUUUUUUUUUUUUUUUGUCCUGCCAUUUUUCUAAUUUAUUUUUUCGUUUAUUUCAAAAUUUAAGGGCAAAAUUAUCUUUUUCACAUCAAGUGUGUUUAACAAAAUAAAUAGAUAGAACCAAACGGAAUGGGCAUUUGUGCAAAUAAUGGUUGAUCUAAAGGCCUAAACGUCAAAAUUAAAGAUAUAGACGAUUUUUGCAAUGUAGAUAAAUAAUAUGGUUGAUCUAAAGAACUAAAUGCCAAAAUUAAAGAUAUAGACGAUUUGGGCAAUGUAGAUAAAUAAUAUGGAUAAUUUGAGUAAUGUAGAUAAAUGAUCCUUUUACUCCCAUUACCCAUGAUUUUAAUUUAGGAUGUGAUUCAAGAUUGUUAUUUUGAUUAAUAUUCUCACCCUCCACGAUGUUGAAUUUAAUAUAGAGUUUCCUUCUGGUAUGGAAAAUAUAAUUUAGCAAAUUCAAUGCAUAUUUAGCAAAUCGCAUAGGCCACCUAAUUUCAUAACAACUACUUCCACUUGGACCAAUUAAAAAACAAACGAGCAAUUGACGAAGACGAUGUUAAAAUGACAGUUAAGUGUUAUGUAAAUAAUAGGGUUCUAAAAAGCUUUCCUAAGCUCGGAGUUCGGGCAAAAUGCCUCGUUUCGCGCCCAUUGCCUAAACGAUUGAAUUUUUUCCUUCAUUUCUUUCGUCUUCCGUAGACGCACUUUAUUAAAUUUUUUAAAAGUUUUUUUAUUUGACUUUAGCUUAUUAUUGUUAUUAUUAUUUAAAAGAAACUUUUAUUUGACUUUAAUUUCAAAUUUUUAAAAGAUUUUAUAUGUACAAAAGUUAAAAAUGACUUUAUCUAGAUAAUUAAAUAAGAUUUAAGUGUUGGUAUUAUCAAUAUUAUGUAAUUAUGAUCCUAAAACUCAUUUUAUUACAAAUUCCAAAACUGUGUAUGAAGUUUCCAUAAAUCCAUGAAGUUGAAUUUGUCAAAUUGAAAUUUGAAACUACGAAAAAUAUUCUAAUUUUUGCAUUUCAAAAAAUUGAAAAUUGUAUAAUUGAUUAAUGGUAUAAGUUAUUGAGUAAAUAUUGUAUUUUAUAAUUUUAGAUGUUUAAUAUAUAUUAUUUUAAUUAUUAAAUAAUUUUUAAAAUGAUUAAAAUUUUAAAAUAAUAUUAUAAAUAAGAAAACGUUUUUUUUACUCCUAAAUCUCACCUAGGCUCGCUUCAGCUCGUAAAACUUGAAACUUCGACUCUAUGCCUAGUGAUGUUUUACGCUUUUUAGAACAUUGUUAAAUAAUGAUGGCAUUAAAUAUCCAUAGAUUUCUCUAGUUCAAAAAGCAUGUCAUAUUGAGAUUGGACGGUCGAAAACCAUUUUGAGAAUGUUUAAUAUAUUGGAUUGAACUUUGCAUUUGAUAUGAAUAUCUCAUUUUAUCCAGUUCUACGUGUGGAAUUCAAAGAACACGGUGAACAAGUGCCCCUAAAAUUAAAGAGGCCAAACAUGACACUCGAAUGGGCACAAAACCAGCAAAAUUCAAAAGAUUUAAAGUAAAACAGGCCAAUAUCCACUAUUGCUAAGAGGAAUUUGAUCCAACUGGAUCUGACAUUUGAAAUUUGUCUAUUCAAUCAACGGCCGAGGACUCAACAAAAAAAAUCAAAGAAAAAACACAAAAAUGGAAUGAUUUUCCCACCCCCUUAUGUAUACAAACUACAGAACUACUUUUUCUUCAAGAGCAUAUUCACGUCGACAUAACUGUGAUUCUCUAUUUACAGGUGUACAAUUACGAUACUUCUUUCUCUAUUUACAGGUGUACAAUUACAAUUACACACGUGGCCUCCUCUCGUGAGAUGGAGUUGGCCACACACACUCUAAUGGUCAAGUUAGUUGGGAGAACAAGUAUAUGAGUGUGAGAAGGUUUUAAACGUGCCUCCAAUAUAAAAGGGGGGUGGUUUUGGGAGUAUUGUAUAGAAAAAGAGAGCAAAGUCAUAGCUUAAAAGUCCAAACUUGCAUUACCUUCAGGUGACCUUAAGUGUGAGCUUUUAUAGUACAAGAGUAUGAAUGGGGACCGUUGGAUGAAGAGACAUGAGGCUUUCAUCCAUGUGAUUGUCACUUCCUCUCAUAGAUGUCAAUUAGUCAAAGGGAAUAAAUGCUAACACCGCUUUAUCAUCCAUACAGCCUAACUUGUGGAUGUGGACUUGAUUGAAUAGGCUAAAAGUGGCGACGGUGGCAGAGAUAUCAUGUCAGUCAUAUCAAAAGAUUGACUGAAAGAUUUUGUGUUAGGCUCGUCCUGUCUUCUUUGCCUCUGCUCGUUGAGGCUGCUACCUGUGGAGAUUACCUUGCUUCGGACCAUACGGGUUCAGAUAUACAUGGGCUCGAAUAUGUGUGAUGCAGCCCAUCUUCCAUCAGGCCUAGGCUAGACCAUAAUUAGAGCCUCAUUCUCGUAACAGUAGUCAAUGAAGAUAUGUUAUAAAUUGAGGAGUACGAUCGCAACUCACCAUAGCAUGUAGCCAAGACGUCCUUCCUCAUUGCAGACAAUGCCUCACUAGCAAUCACCUUUAGAGCCUAUGCAUGCCUGCCAAGAUACAUAAUGCAGUAGAAUCAAUUUUUUGAUCGUUAGAAAGAAAAAAGUGAGUUCCAUUUGUGAGUGAAGAAAUAAAAAAUGACGGUUGACCAUGUUAAGUAACGAUUAAACAAUUAAUUUUUUGGCUUGAAAAAUCAGAACCAAACGGAGGCAUAAUGUUUUCCUAUGAAAAAAAAAUUGUGUAGUUAGCAUGCAUGAUUUGUGAGGGAAAAAAUUUAAAUAAAAAAUAAAUAAAAGUAGCUAUUUUAAAAGUUUGGAAUCCACAAAUCGUGUGGACUAAAAUUUAUAAGUCAAACUAAUAAGCCAAAUUCGUUUGACACUUAUAAGUUAGAUUUAUAGAUUUUGAUCCAUACUAUUUGUAGAUCCCAACUUAUAAGAUAGCAGUUAUANNNNNNNNNNNUUUUUUUUCAAACAUUCUCAAUUGUCUCGCACAUGCCCAAAACCCCCUUGCACUCCCCAAAAUUAUUAAUACCGUGACCCAACUAAAAGGAUGAACUAAUCAAUUCCUAGUGGGAAACAAUAGCCAAUUCUCGUACUACAGUCUACAUUAUACAUAGGACUGCAUAAAUCAUCUUUUGAAAAUCCAAGGAUAGCUAACCAAGAGGGGGAUGAAUUGGUUAUAUAAAAAUUUUCGAAAAUUAAUUCUAGAUUUAAACCAAUACAAAAGUAAAUAAAUCAAUUAAUCAAAUAGCCACAAACACGAUAACAAGCAAAGAACAAUAUAAUGAUUUGAAUAAUAAACAAAUGUAAAAAUUAUAAGUAAAAGGGAAUAGAAGCCAAACGAUAUGUUGUGGAGGGUCGAUCCAAUGCAAUGUUCUACAUCCCCCAUUACCAAGCUCUUCAGCACGAGCAAGGCAUUUUUCAUUAUAUUGAUUGACUUAUGAUACAAUCCAACAUUCUAUAAAGCUUUUGGUGACUUACAAACAAGGAGCACCAAUCCUUUACAGCGUUGAGCUUUUUGGGAUCUCAACACGAUCCACACUAUUGAGUUUUAAGGGACCUCAAUAUGACCAAUACGAUAACUUACAAUAAGGAGCACAAAUCCUUACAUAAUGCCCUUGUUUGAGCCCCAUUUUUUCACCAAAAUACAUUUUUCAACAGUGAUUUGAUACUAUUUCAACCACAAAUUCUUCAAUAAAAUAAUAUUAUAUACAAAUCAAAAACUUUUUCUUAUUUUUUAACCAUUUCCCAUCAAUACACUAUUCAAAAAUUCAUUUUCUCCUCUAAAAUGGGGCUCAAACAAAGGCAAUGUUGAGCUUUCCGAGAUUUCAACGCGACCCACACUUUAUCAAAAUGAUUUUACAAUCAAAUCCUCUCUUGAUAAAUAAUACAAAACAAAUUAAGUACUAAAAGAGGCUAACACUUCAAUGAAUACUAACAAAUGAUAGCUCAAGUGUUAGAUGAAAAAUUUUGAUGAAAAAAAUUAAGUUCAAUCAAUCAAAGUAUUUUAAUGAGAAGAUGAAGAAGAAUUAAAUGCAAUAUAAAUUCAAAUAAUCUUCUCAAGAAAUAUCUCUCUUUUAAUGAAUGAUUAUAAUAAAUCAAGUACUACGAGAGAAAGGAGAAACUUUGAUGAAUAUAAUAAUUUUACAAAUUUGAUUCAAUCAAUCAAAGUUUUCAAUAUGAAGAAGUUAAAAAGUUUAUGCAAUAUAAGUGUAAAGAACUUCUUCAAGAAUAUAUCUCUCUUUGAAAAUUGAUAUAAAUAAGUUGAGCACAAAGAGAUAUGAAAAACUUUGAUGAGAAUGAUGAUUAAUGAGUUUAAAUCAAUCAAAACUUUUGAUAUGAGGAAACAAAUGAAUGAAUGCAAACGAAGGCUCAAAUAAUUCUUAAAACAAAAUUUCCCACUUUGAUUCACUUAGAAAUCUCUUUAAGAAUGGAAAUAGUGAGGAUAUUUGUAGAGUUCAAAAACGAGAAAAAAAUCUUUACUGACAGAAGACUAGUCCGGUCGACUGCCUCUUGUUCGGAAGAUCAAUAUAGCUGUUUAUACAGCAAAAAUCAGAAGUCAAAACGGUCAAAUUUUGAACCAUUAGAGGGUGUCCGAUCAACCGCCUCUUUGGGCUGUUGACCGCCUUGACAGCGCGGUAUUUUUACGUUUUGACACCAUUUGUUCCGAUUUGAAAUUUUUGAAGCGCGUGGACCUUUGGAAAAUAUUUUUAACUAAUUUUUCAUGAUAAAAAUAUUUUUUAAAGUCUAAAUAUCACUUUUAAAAGUCGUUUUUAUAUUUGAUCAAAAUAUUGCAUUGGAAUGACUUUUAAUGCAAAAAUUUGUUUUUAAUGCAUAUAAGGAUUUUGAGUUUAACCAUUCAUUGUCAAAUAUCAAAAUGUUAAUACCUUUACAUUUUGCUUAAGAAAUCAAUUCUUAAAUCUUCCUCCGAUGUUUCUUUCAUGUUUGACUCUUGAACUUUUGAUCUUUAUUUUUCUUGUCAUUGAUCUUCAAUGCUUGACUGUUCUUGGCAUUUAUCUUUUAAGCUCUCGUCUUAAAUGAUUUGACUUGAAUGCAUAACCAACUUUCAAUUUGAUCUCAUUUCAAGUCCAAUAUAUGUUGCUUGAGAGCUUUUAACAUUGAACUAUCAUCACUCAAAAUAAAUUAUUAGAAACAAUAUCAAUCUUGUUUGUUACGAUCAAAACAUUGAGAAUGAAGUAAACAUCUUCUACCUGGGAAAUGAAUCAAAUCCUAUUUUUUACAAGACCAUAAAAUUCGAUUCCUAAUCAAUGUGGGACAAUGUAAAGUUGAUUCCUACAACAAAUGGAUUUUUUUUAUUUUUUUUUAUUUUUAAAGAACGAUCUAGUUUCAUUAUAUCGUUUUAUGUUCUUAUUAAUAUCAUAUAUUGAUUACUCAUGUUAAUUAAAUUGUGGAAGUCCAAUUAUUGCUCUAAAAUCUUGUAUAAUGGAGCACUAUAUCGAUAGACUUCUAUUUGAAUUAUCCCGUGUGGUUGAGAUUAAGGAAAGUCUUAAUUUAAAUAAUCAAUACAUUUAUCAAAGUUUACCGUAUAUUCUUCAAUACUAUACAUUGUAUUUAUUUUUCGUUUAACGAACUAAUAAUUUUAUGUAUUUUUUUUUUAAAUAAGUAAGAUUCAUGAAUCUACUUUUUUUUUUUUUCCCAAGAAAUAAAUUGUAAAUUGUUCAAUGUACUGUGCUAUUCCUUUUCAUGAACAUACAAAAAACUCUAUUUAAUUUAAACAAUCAAAAGCCAUAGUAGCACAAUAAAUCAUACAUAUGAAAAUGACUUCUCAUUUUUAAAAAUAUAAGCAGUUCAACACUGACGGAUAAUAUGAAAAAUAUUUUGCAAGUUUAACUAAGAUAACACAGGUAACACUCAAGGACCACACUAUAAAUUCUUACUAUAAUAAUAAUAAUUACAUAUGAAGUUCAUUUUGACAUAAGUUUCAAGAAGAAAGAAAAAUAUAUUAAAUUAUUCUUAAAGGCCUCAUAGUCAAAUAAUAAGAACUUAUCAGAAAAUUAUUAAUUUAUAUAUUACAUGAGAUUUAUAUGAAUUUUUAAUAAUGAUUUAGCGAAGUCAACAUUGGCCGAAAAUAUUAUUUAAUCGAAAUCAUCAAUGUAUCUGGUGUUAAAUUCUACUGUAUUCAUAGGUAAGGAUAAAUAUAUAUAAAUUUAUCGAUAAGGACUUUUCGAAUUGUUUCGAUUUUCAUUUAAUCCUAUUUCGAAUGAUAUUCUUGUGAAUCAAUGAUUUAGCCAUCACUUUGUGUUGUUUAUCUCGUCUAAUAGACAUUACCACUGCAUUUCCCGAUUAAAAUUUAAAAAGAUAAGAAUUGACACUCUUUCGAAUAAGUGAAUAAGUUUUAAAUAUUGCAAAAGAUAAUUUUGUUUUAAUUUUAAUUUUUUGAUUUUCUAGACGGGUAGCCGUACAGUCGCAUGUAUUCUAACAAAUGUACAGGUCUUCUACUUAAUUAAUUGCAUUCAUUUCCUAAACUCGUCCAAAUCCAAUAAAUUCACAACUUUUUAUAUUAUUGGCACAAACACAACAUUCUGUUACGUGUAGAAUUCUUAUUGGUUCGAGAAAUUAACCUUGACGUUUCCGAAGAGUCCUAGGUUUCUGUUUUGUCAUAUACAUCUCUCCUAACCAAUAAGGGAAAAAAAAAAAAAAAAAAAAAAAAAACAUUUUAUUUAAAAGUAACCCUUACCUUUCUGUUAAAAUAAAAAGUAACUUGUUUUCAAAUAAAUUUACUAAUUUAGUUAUAAACAAACUCUUUAAGCUUUAACCAAACAUGCUGUUAAUACCCUCUGCUAAUCUGAGAACGUUCAGUCUUCCACCUUUCCCAUUUCAAGCUUUGACCAAUUGUUGUCCGUGGAUGCAGGAGGAAAUUGUGCUCCUGUAUAUCAAUGAACAACAAAUUUCUCUCUACCUAUGCCUGCAGAAAAUCGACAAGAAUUUCCCUCUCUCUCAGACUCAACGUGGGAAGACUUGGACAUUGACCAAGACGAAAUUCCUUCUGAAUUAAAGAAUCCAUUAUGUAUACCACAAGAUAGACUUGAAGAUGUGGAUUUUUUCCCACCCUUUGGAGAUGAUUUAAUUUCAUUAAGUGGAUUAUUUCAGUCACCAAAACAUAAAUCCUCCUGUUCAGGUCAAUUUUCAUCCAAGAAACACUCCAAUACCCUUUCAUUGGAUGCUUGUGAAAACAUGAACGUACCUUUGUUUUUGAAUGAUUUUCUGGGCUUCCGAGGAAACCGUAAUCCAGAAAAACUCCAUUUUCAUGGCUCUCAGAAGCAAGAAUCUGAAGAUAAAGGGAAACGGAAAGGGAAAGGGAUUUUGUACGAAUUUUUUGAACAGACCGGCGAGAAACCGGCAAUUGAAGAUGGGUAUAAAGUUACAUCUCUAAUGAACAAGAGAUGUGGGAGCAACGGACCACAAAGCCAUUCACGGAAUUCAUCGAAAGAUACGAAACUGAGGUGCACUCAUUGCCAAGCUGAGAAGACACCACAGUGGAGGAUGGGUCCAUUGGGGCCAAAGACGCUGUGUAAUGCUUGUGGCGUGCGAUUCAAAUCUGGGAGAUUAAUGCCGGAGUACCGCCCUGCAGCGAGCCCAACUUUUGAUAGUACGAAACAUUCUAAUUUUCAUAAGAAUAUAUUGCAAAAAAUUAAUUACUUGAAGUGAGAUUUGAAAUAAAUUUUAGGUUUUACAAGAUAGAUUGAAUUUCAUUGGCAUUAAUUUCGAGUUUAACAAUAGGAAUUAGUGGUUGUCACAUGUCUUGUAGUGUUUCAUACAUUUUUAAAUUCCUUACAUUUCUACAACUAGAUUUUAGCAUUCAAUGUGUAUUCCUCAAUAUUCUCUCUAUGAAAAAAUGAUACUUGUACAUUCUUGUUUACUACUUGGUUUACAUGAUGUACAAGUGCAAGAGUUUGAAAAAAGUUACGAGUAUAGGAAGUGUUAACAUAUUUUCAAUAGGGGACACUUGUACCCUUGUGAUUGGCAGCUGCCAUGAAAAUCUAUUAACAUUUCCUGUAUGUGUGGUGCAACUAGCAAGAGUUUACACACCAUGUUGGACAAAUAAAUACCGGUGAAAUCUUGCCACUUGUAUAUUAUAUGUAAAUCAAGUGGUAAAUAAGAAUGUACAAGUAGUGUUUCUCAUAAUCUAAUUUUUAAUUAUUCAACAAUUUCAUUUUCCGAGCUCAAUAUUAGCCAGAUUAGUUAGCUUUACAUGUUUUAAUGUAGGAACAAGAUCUUAUUCGUAACAAAAGCUGAAAGUAAUUUGUUACCGCUAGCCUUGGUCAAGACUAAAUCAUAAGCUAAAAAGGAAUUUGCUUUUAGCUCCCUAGCUCUAGGGGGCAAGGGACAAUGAUAAAAAGUUGUACCCAAAUUGCUCUCAUGUAUACGAAGGAAUGUGGUUCGUUUGAGAAAUUCCUACCUCUCCAUUUAUCUCUUCAAUGUUUUGAUUUUUCAAAAGCUAUCCCACUUGGAUAAAGUUAGAACUUUUACUUAUAAAAGGGUCAAGAACGACGAAUCUUCGUAUGAUGAACAUAACCAUUUUGCAAGUUCGUUAUUACGGAUAGUUCCUACAAAGUUUGGACUGAUGGAGUAUACAAUACUAGAUUCCUGGUGUAAAUACUAUAUAGUCGGUUUUAAUCCUCGACAGACAACGAGUAUAAUAAAUCAGAUGGUUCUUUUAUUAAUUUUUAUUUUAUGACUUACUUUUACAAUUCCAAAGUCGAAAAGAUUGAUAAAAUCCACUUAUGAAGAAUUUCUUGAAAAUUUAAGGAUUAGUAAUCUUCUUUAUAAAUUGAAAGAAUUCAGUCUUAUACAUAUGUGAAGGCAAGAGGUAAGGGCUGGAAUUGAUAUUGGAUUGAGAGAGGGAUUUGGAGCACAUGUAGAAGAUAGCUUGGAACAUCACAAGUUCGUAUUUUAUGGAAAUAGAUGGUUGGUGUUUAGUAAGUCUUUAAAAAGAUCACGAAAGUCUGUGUAUUUAUAUGUAUCCGGGCUACGCCUUUUUCAUAUACUAUUGUAGUGAAUAUUUGUGGGGAUCCUUUUCUAUAGAAGAUAGAAUAUUUAAGAGGAUAGUUUCUCCUCCUAUCAAUGAAUUUGACAGAAUUAUAAUUCUUUACUUCAGUUAAUCUAACGGUCUAAAUCUAUUAAAAUGUUUUAUAUCCACUACAUCCAUAUCCAAACACACCACAAUGAAGGUUUUAAUAAAUCUAGACUGUUAGAUUAACUUAAGUCGAAGGUUAAGAUUAUUUGUCAAUCCCGGACCAGAUGCAAAAUCAUAUCACCUUUAUUUCAUUGUUAAUUCCUUUUAUACAUGCUUCCUAUUGGAAUAGGCCAAACAAUAAGGCCGUGGUUGGUCCGUCGUUUUCGGUUCAUUUUUCGUUUUGCGUUUUCGAAAACGCGUUUGGUUUGUCAUUUUCGAAAACGCAUUUUCGAAAACGAGUUAAAAUUUAUAACUGAAAACACAAAACGACUUUUUAUCGUUUUCAGUUAUAAAUGUCGAAAACGCUCAAAACGCGGAAAACGGGCCGUUUUCGAGGAAAACUAAAAAUCAUUUUGAAAAUGAAUAUGGAAAAUGAAAACGCAAACCAACCACUACCUAAACUUCUUGCACUAAAGCUAGAUAAAUUUAGUGAUUAAUCGGGUUUUUUUUAACGUAUUUGGGGUGAUAAUAUUUUAAGGGAGCCAUUAUUUAGUACUUACAUCGAUCAUUGUUAUAUAUCUAUCAUACUCUACAUCUAUCCCUAUUAAUUUUUUUUAAAAAAAAUAUUAUUUUCAUCCACGUCACAUUCCAAUAUUGUCAUUAUUAAAUUCAUUCACACCAUUUUUAUAUAUCUAUCUCACUCUAAAUUUAUCCAUGUUACCAAAAAGAAAAAAAGAAAAAGAAAAAUUAUAUUCAAUACCAUUACAUAUAACAUCAAUAUUCUCAUAAUUCAAUAAUUAAUUCUGUAGAUUACAAAUUUAUAAGAUGGAUUCCAUGAACCAUAAACCACCCUUAUAAUCACUGUCACCCUCAAUGUGACAUUGACUCUAUUUUUUUUUUUAUUGAAAUCGAAGAUAAUAAUUUGAAACGAUUUGUAACAUUUAUUCUAUUAAAAGGGAAAAAAAUGAUUUUAAAAAACUCGCCUUUUGAUGACCACCAUAAAAAAGAUGACAAAGAUGCAAUUCUAUACAAAAAUAAAAAUGAAACUAUCCUAAUGAGUGGGGAUUAAAAAUAGAUUAUUCUUAAUAAAUUUCUAGUAUCUAGAUUUUUCUUAAUAAAUUUUAAAUAUCUUUCAUGUUUACAAAUUAUUAUCUCUCAAAUUUACAUACGCUUAUUUUUAACAAUAACCAAUUAAUGUGCCAUGUAUGUUCAACCCACUAGUAAAUUGAGAAGUAUAAAAAUAUAAUAAAAUAAAUAGAUUCGGACAGGGCAUGUUCCCCUUCUUUGCUUGCCCCACCUUGAAUUUUUUGAACUCUCUGUUAUCUUCAAUCAAAUUUUGUUGAAUAAUGCUAAAACUUGGGAAGCAUCAUGACCUCAUGUCACUGUUCAAUUGAAGCAAAAGAUGAAUGUGAAGCUAAAUGUCUUUCGCACUCUUAUUUAGGCUUUUAAACUUGCUCGAUAUUUAAUUAUUUGAGCGGAUUCUACUCAAGUUGGUUUACAUAUUCCUUUUAUAGGAACAAAUCUCGGUUUGAAGGUGAAUUGAGCAUAGUGAAAAGAAUUGAAGCUCAAAGGAUGAUAUGGAAGAGCUAUCGGAAAGUUUGGACUUGACUUGUGUUAACAUGCUAAAAGUGCAGCCCAAUUCAAAUAGUCCAAAGAAUGAAGUCCAACUGGACAAUUCAGGAUAAAGGCCCAAAUGUGGUUAUUAAUGAAUGGUAAGUCCACGAACGCGGUAACACCAUCGCCCAAACUUACAAGACGCCCAGGAUCUGAGCGAAUGAAGUGUCUUACAGUCGCCCAGAGUUGUAACCCCGUUCUCGCCCAAACCUUUGAAUCGCCCAGGACCUUAGCAAACAUAAGGUAUUAUGAUUAUCCAAAAGUACAGUUAUCGAAGCAGUUAUUGGGUAAUCUUGUCACGUUUCACGAUUCAAGAAGUUUAGUUGAAGACGGUUGAACGACAAAGAGUAGUGGCAGCAUCUAGAAACGGCAGUUCCACGAUAAGUUGGCCAUCAUGAAGAAAGUGGGCAGUUAUAAAGCAAUUAAGCAGUUUCUAAGCGGUUGGUCACAAAGAGAGCAUCAAGAGAAUAUAAAAGGAAGAAAAGACAUAUAGCAAAGGACCCCGAAUCAAACACUCUCAAACAGAGAAUAUGUAAUUUCAAUUUCUUAGUUUAGACUUAAAACAUUUCUUUUUCAGUACUCGUGUGCUUGCGCCCCUUGGAGGCAUUUCUGUUUAAGUUCCAAUUGUAAAGUCAUUGCCAAUAAAACACCCCCUUUUGGGACUUUGUCUCAAGAGGUUUGUCCCUUACACAAUCGUCUGAUCCCUUUUUAAUUGUUAGCGACUACCCGCGCGAAACAAUUUGGCACGCCCGGUGGGACAUUGGUGUUUGGUGUUGAAGAUACAAAAGGUGAAAAAAUAUGCCUCAAAAUUCGAUAAGGAAGCAGCAAGUCAGGGAGGAGUCCAGUCUGUGAUCGAGUGAUAUGAGGAGCAGCAUAGCUCUCCACGAACAGAUGGACAGAAUCAGAGCAAUCAUAGUCGUUACGAACCAAUGACAGAGUUGAGUCCUCGAACCAUGCGUGUAUUACUCGGAGAACUCACACAAGAUGUCGUUGAACAGGUAAAUCUACGAAGUAUUCAUAAUAUGAAAGAUUUACCCAAAAUGGAAAUGCGCAUUAUGACAACAUGACCAAACAAUGAAUACUUUGAACGAAAUAAUGAAUAAGUUAGUAGGCCAAAUUUCUCAGCCAGUUGUGCCUCUUGCAAACCACUUUCAGACUAGGACAAUUGUGGGACAUAAUUCCCCGAUCCUAAGUUUAAAUCAAGGGGUAGAACCACCUUUUGAUCCCUCUACUUUAAACCAGGGGGUGAUGUAAUUCCAAAUCAGAAUAGUGACAUUGGUACAUCUAACUUGGGAGGUAACCUAAAUGUAAGAGAUAAUGUCCUAAAUAAUGGGCAGAAUACCACACGUGUUAAUAAUGGAAUAAAUGCUCAGGCUAAUGGUAACAAUGGCCCAAAUUAUGGUAACUUUGUUGCUAAUCAAGGACCAGACAUCAGGCAUCAAGCAAAUCAACCGGUCAACCAACCUGUAAGAAUUCCAUAUGACCCCAACGUCAUGUUGAGGAAUCAGAUUAUGGAAAUCAUACAGGAUCAGAUGGCUUUUGGAGUACGACCUGUCAUUAGGCCGACUUACACAAAGCCAUAUCCUGAUUGGAUAGACCAAGCAUAUCCAUGGCCUAGAGGGUAUAAAGUGCCAGAAUUCUCACUGUUUACCGGUUUAGGAGAGGUGUCUACUCUAAAACACAUAGGGCGAUUCACACUGCAAAAUGGUGAUGUAAUUGAUUACCAUAAAAUAAGGCUGUUCCCUAGUUCAUUAACAGGAGUAGCCUUCUCCUAGUUCAUCAAUUUUCCAGCAAACUCUGUUCAAACAUGGCAACAAUUGGAGCAAUUGUUCCACGCUUAGUUUUAUAAGACUGAGUCUGAAGUUACUUUGGCCGAUUUGAUGAAUCUACGUCAAAUGCCAAACGAAUGGGUAGAAGUUUCCUUCAAAGGUUCAAGACAGCAAGAAGUAAAUAUUUUGUACCUUUGCCCGAAAAGGAGUUUGUCAAAAUCGCUCAAGGUUGUCUAAACUUUGAUCUGAAGAAGAAGUUCCAAGACAAGGAAUUUCCUGAUCUUUUCCAAUUGAACGCGAAUAUGAUUAGGUAUGAACGAUUAAUAAGAGAAGAAGAAUAAAUGAAAAAUUCUAGCAAGGGGACUUAUUAUAGAGACCCAAAUUUUGAUGUUCAUAUCAUUAAUGACGAGUGUUAUGAUCAAAUCGAAAUGUGUUUGGCCGAAUUAGUUAAAGGAGACACAUAUACUUGUCCUAUAAUGGCUAAGCCUAGACCGUCGGGCAAGGAUGAGCCUAUAAAAGAUGAAAACAUAAAGGCUAGAAUGUUCUCGUUCGAUGUAACCAAAGCUGACCUUAUAUUUGAUAAAUUAUAUAAGGAUAAACAGAUAAAGUUGAGCGAUAAGCAUAAAUUGCCAAGCCCUGAACAAAUUAAGGGUAAAAACAUUUGACUAACAACUGCUUGGUUUUUCACCAUGUGUUACAUGAUGCCAUUGAAUCAGGACGAAUUACGUUCGAGGAUAAGAGGAAGAUGGCAGUGGAUGAAAAUCCUUUUCCACAGCCACUUGGAGUGAACAUGGUGACAUUUGGUUUCAAAAACAAAUUGCCAAACUUCAAGUUGGUUAUAGAUGAUGGAGAAGAAGACCCUGGACAACAUCACAAUGUCUUUGAACGUAUCAAAGGGAAGGAACCAAAAAAGGACGAAGACGUCAUAUGUGCAAGAUACAAAAAAGAAGUGAGUGCAAAUGCAGAGAAAUCAGGGAUAUGGCAACAUCACCGUCGUUCUAGUUUUUUUCCAAACGUUCAGCCUGGUAGAGGGCAGGGUACAUCGUUCUAUAAGGGACCGUCUUUUGAGAGGUAGUUCAGGCCAGUAAAUAAUGGGAGGACAUUCAGACCGCAACUUUGCCCACCAAAUGUAUGGCAUUCGUUCCAGUAUGAGGCUGGAAGGGCGAUACCUUUCAACGAAAUGACUAGAACCCAACAAAGGCAUUUUCAACUAAACUACGGCCAAUGAUGAGGCGACAACAGGGAAUGUUGUGUCCUAAGGCACCUAGAUUACUCGAGGCGGCCAAUCAGAAUGUUCUCAAAGACAGUGAAGAGACUGAUACAGGCGAACCUAUGGAAGAAUUGUCAAAAACUUCUUCUGGGAGGUCGGAGUUUGAGCGAGACAGAGGGGAUGGAGAAGAUCCAGAUCAGCCCCUUACUAUUCAAUUUGGUACGUUACCUCCUGUCGUGGCUAAUAACUAUUUACUAGCCAAUGAGUUCAAGAAUAAAGAGAAAUGGGAAGAAGAAAAGGAGGAUAACAAAGAGGAAGCAUGCAUGCUGGAAUAUGAAGAAGGCCAAACUUCUAGAGAGGCCUACAAUGGUGAAGAAGAUGAUGGUAUGACAGACAUCGAAGAGGAAAUCGAUCUGGAAGCGAAAAGAAGAAGAAGAGGAUUAUCGUACAAUACUCUGUUGAAGCAAUUACAUUGAGAGGGAGUUCGUGAAGUAGACUUAUUGGGAGAACCAUCUGGGCGUUCUUUCGAUUUUUACGUGCUAUACGGGACGCCCAAAAUAAAGAAGAGAGUGCCUCGCUCUGAAAAGUAUGGAUCACCUCCAAGAAUAAUGUCUCCUCCCACAGGUUGGGUAACUGAAGAAGAAGCAUUAGAAAACAGUGAAAGGGAAAUUCAGGAGACUGAGGCUCGGUGCAAUAUGCUGCACGUUGACUUAUCACAAAAGGGUAACUCGACAGAGGACAAGCAGGAAGUGGAAAUAGAUGCUGCCGAAAAAGUUAUUUUUAAGCAACCAGCCAUGAAAUUGACCAAACACUUGAGGUCAUUAUAUGUUAAAGCUCUAGUACCUGUGGCAAAAGUGCUUGUCAAUAAUGGAGCAGCUAUAAACACCAUUCCAUCUAGGAUGAUGAGGAAAUUCGCAAAGACAGAAGGUGAUAUGAUCCCAACAGAAGUCAUCCUUACAAGUUUCAAUGGAGGAGCAAUUUCUGCUAAAGGGGUUAUGCCAUUGGACAUAACUAUAGGAACAACUACUAGGACCACAGUCUUCUUUGUAAUAGAUGGUCCCACUAGUUACAAUGUGUUAUUAGGGAGAGAUUGGAUACACGGAAGUCGCUGUAUACCUUCAUCGCUCCAUCAGUGCCUAGUUUUUUAGAAUGACAAGGGCGAAGCAGAGGUGGUGCAGGCCGAUUAUAGGCCUUUUGUCGUAGAAGCAAACUAAGUGGAAAGGUUUAUGUAUGAAGAAAAUUAUGGACCUGUUAGAGUAGUCCAAGAUGGAGAAGAAACUCAGAUUGUCGCGCAGAGUGAAGAGCCAUUUUCGGUGGAUACACUCACAGAAAUGUUCAGUCAGAUGAGGCCAAACAUAGUGGCCCUGGAGGAGCCAGUAAUUGGCAAAAGAAUGGCCAAGGAGUUUUAAAUGAGUUGUAAACAACAAAGACAAAUGACCGAUAUUAAGGCCUUCAAAGCCAAAUUAAUAGCUUUCAAUAAAGAAUGCAAGGACAAGACGAAAGAAGCAACAGCCUUGAAAGCAUUGAGAGACAAACUGGUAGUGUUCGAGUUGGAACAAAGUAUUGGCCGAGAAGUCAACAAGGUGGAUUGUUUAGAAGAAGAAGUGCCUAUAAGGGAACUGGACGAUGAAGUGAUAAGGAUCGCCAAGCCUGGAUACGCUCAAGCACAAGACACCCUGAUUAAAGUGAAUAUUGGCAAUGAAGGAGAAGAUCGCCCAACGUUCAUCAGCCAAAUACUCGAUCAAGAGAUUAGUGAUAAAUUAAUCGCUUUAUUAAAGGAAUACAAAGAUUGUUUUGCUUGGGAAUAUGAACAUAUGCCUGGUUUAGAUAGAGAUUUGGUGGAACAUAGGUUACUAACCAAGCCUAAUUUUAAACCUCAUAGGCAACCUCCUAGGCGUUUUACUCCUAAUGUACUCCCUGAAAUUAAGGAAGAGAUAGAGCGAUUCUUAGCAGACUUUAUUAGAAUGGCCAAGUACGUUGAAUGGUUGUCCAAUAUCGUGCCGGUAUUAAAAAAGAAUGGUAAACUAAGGGUGUGCAUAGACUUUAGGAAUCUAAAUAUAGCCACACCUAAAGAUGAAUAUCCAAUGCCCACGGUAGAUUCUUUAGUAGACUCGACUGCUGGACACGAAAUGUAUUCCUUCAUGGAUGGGUAUUCAGGAUACAAUCAAAUUUAUAUAGCUGAGGAAGAUGUACACAAAACUGCCUUUAGAUGCCCUGGGUCUCUAGGAUGUUUUGAAUGGGUAGUUAUGCCUUUCGGCCUGAAAAAUGCAGGAGCAACUUAUCAAAGGGCAAUGAAUUUGAUCUUUCAUGAUAUAAUAGGCAAGUUUGUUGAAGUGUAUGUAGAUGAUAUAGUGGUCAAAUCCCUUAAAGAAGAGGACCAUUUUGAACUAUUAAGAUAUUCAUUUGAGCGAAUGAAACAAUAUAAACUAAAGUUGAAUCCUUUGAAAUGUGCAUUUAGUGCUAAUGCAGGAAAUUUUCUUGGUUUCUUAAUACACAAAAAGGGGAUUGAACUUGAUAAAAAUAAAGCGAAGGCCAUUUUAGAGGCCAAAUCACCUAGCAACAAAAAAGAAUUGCAAAUGUUUCUAGGCCAAGUAAACUUUUUUAGACGCUUUAUUUCUAACUGUGCAGGGUGAACUAAAACUUUUUCGCCGCUUUUAAAGUUGAAAAAUCGGGACGAAUUCGUCUGGAAAGAAGAGCAUCAAAAGGCUUUUGAAAGCCUAAAGACAUAUUUAUCAAGUCUACCAGUGUUGGUGUCAUCAAAAGGCUUUUGAAAUUCAUUGCAUACAAGAUGGAGAUGCAAUAGAUUGGAGGGCAGAGAUUAAAAGGUUCCUUAAAGAACCUAAUAAAGGAGAUAGUAGAAAAAUGAAGUUGCGUUUGCUAAACUAUACACUGAUAGAUAAAGAGUUGUUUAAAAAAUGCUCUGAUGGUGUAUUGCUAAAAUGUGUAAGUUUGCAAGAAGCCAAGACGAUCAUGGCUGAAGUGCACGAAGGGAUAUGUGGAGCUCAUCAAGCUGGCCAAAGGAUGAGAUGGUUAAUUAUUAGGAAUGGAUAUUUUUGGCCAAAGAUGGGAGAAUCAUGCGUUCAGUAUGCAAAGAGUUGUCUAGCAUGCCAAAAGCAUAGUCCAAUACAAAGGGCGCCAGCACGAGAGAUGACACCUAUUAUCAAACUUUGGCCGUUUAAGGGCUGGGCGAUAAACCUAAUAGGGAAGAUUUAUCCACCAUCGUCCAAGUAACAUACCUUUGUUAUUGUUGCAAUUGAUUAUUUCACUAAGUGGGUAGAAGCGAUACCUUUAAAGGAAAUCACCGAAAAUAAUGUCAUAGAAUUUAUCCGUGAUCACAUCAUUUAUAGGUUUAGAAUUCCAUAAACUUUGAUGGUAGAUCACGGAAUAUCUUUAAACGGGGAUCAAGUGAAUAAAUUCUUGAGCGAGUUUGGAGUUAAAUUAGUGAACUUCACAUCAUAUUACGCUCAAUCCAACGGACAAGCAGAAUCUUCUAAUAAGAUUUUAAAAAAUAUCAUAAAAAAAAUGAUAGAUGAAAAUGCCAGAAAUUGGCACAAUGUCUAAACAAGGCCUUAUGGACUUAUAGGACGUCGCCUUGAUCAAGUACCAAAAUUACUCCUUUCCAACUUACUUAUGGACAGGAGGUCAUUUUGCCUAUGGAAAUCAACGUGCAAUCGAUAAGAGUGUGUUUGCAACAUAAGUUAAGUGGCGAUGAGUAUACCGAAUCACUAGUUCAAAACUUAUUGGAGUUGAACGAAUUAAAAUUGGACGUCCUAGAUAGUUGCAAGUUCAAAAACGAAGAAUGGCUAAAUUUUAUAAUAAAAAAGUUAUAGCCAAGUCGUUCAGCUUGGGCGAAUUGGUUUGAAAAACAAUACUCUCUUUGGAUAGCAAAGAUCUAAAGUAUGACAAGUGGUCGCCCAAUUGGGAAGGACCAUAUAAAGUAAAUAAUGUGUUGCCUAAUGGAGCCUAUCAUUUGGAAGAUUUAGACGGCACCAAGCACAUGAGGUUCAUUAAUGGCAAAUAUUUAAAAAAAUAUGUUCCUUCCUUAUGGGAAAGUGAACAAAUAAAAGCGUAAUCAAAUCGCGUUGAACGAUCAUAGAUUAAAAGGGGCCAGAGUAAAAUACGUUCAAAUAAAUUCUUUUAUUAUCAAACGUUCAUUACAAAGUUGCAAAAUACAAAAUACUAAAUGCUCUACAAGCUAUAAUUAAGAGCAAACUAAUCUCCCGGUCGAUCGCCGAGUAAGGGGGUGUACUGGCCUUGAUUGCCAUCCCGAUCGCACUACUGCAAAGGCAAGCAGAGAGGCCGAGAAGCACUCUCAGCAAGCAGAAAGGAAGAAGAAGCACCCUCACAUCGCCUUCCUAAAUGCAUCGUUGCAAUGACGGGCAAGGAGGCUGAGAAGCACUCUUAGCAAGUAAGGUGGCUUGAAAAAUGGGCGGAUCAAAUGAUCCAUUUCCAUGGAAGACGAAGGUUUUGGAUCGAUUGUCAAAAUGCCAAACAAUGACAGCAAAUUGAUUUUGAAGAAGAGAGUGAAAGUGAAAAUGACAAGUGUGGAAUAUAAGUGCAUUUAUAGAGGCGUGAAGGUAAAGCGACAGAAUAUGAACAGCUACAUUCAUGCCUAGUAACUAAAAUCAAAUGGCCCGAAAUCUUGGGAAAAGAGACAGAAAUACCAAAAGAAAAUGUGCGUGAAUUUUAGCAUAAAGCAGUUAAAUGUUUGGGGGUUGACGAUUAAAGACAACGUCAAUAAAUACACAAGAAGACAAAUUAAUCGUUCGUUAAUGGUAAUGGCUACUAAUAUGUUCAGAAUUACCAAUAGACAUCAGUACGAGGUUACAAAGGGAAAGUUAAUAUGAAGUUACAAAAAGACAAGUUAAGGCAUUAAAUGUCUUAAUUACAAUUCACCCCAGACUGAACGAAUUCUUUCCCUAAGUCUCUCCCAAUCCUCGCUUUGCUGAGAAGUAGUGACAUUCAAUUCAGCUACAAAAUCAUCAUCAACCUCCAGCUUCUUGUACUGCUCGACCAAAGACUUGGUUCGCUCAAUUCCUUAAGAGGCAUUGCGUUUCUUAGCAGCCAUUCUCGCCUUAUAGUCGUCCAUCCUUGCUUGAAGCUCCUUCAUUUGUGCAGCCAAGCUGGUCAUCAAAGAGUCUUCAAUCAUGACUUCAGAAGAGAUUUCUUUCAGUUCGUCCUCAGCUUUGUUGAUCUCCAUGAGCAAAGACUCUCUUUCAGAUACAACACGAAGAUAUUGAGUACUUUUGCCUUCAGUUUGACAUUUUUGACCAGCAAGGAGAGAAUCUCGGAAUGAACAACUUUCAACGUCGCUUUAAAAUCAGCAGAAAGAUUGAGCGACGGAAGUGUCAGCAGAAAGAUAUUGAGUACUCAAAUGCUCAAGCUUUUCCUUAUAUUUGGCAGCACUAGCCUGACCGAUCUCCAUAUUCAUAAAGGACACAUACUCAAAUAUCGACUGCUUGAGGAACUUCAUAUCUUCCUCUGAAGAUGCAGAAGGACAACUGGUUGAAGCAGGGCGAGACGUCUUAACUUGCCCCCAGGAAGUGAACAAGUCCUUGAUGGAACGCACAAUUCUAUCAGCAUCCUGCAAAGAAAGUCGCCAACAUUGAAGUUUUUCACUACAAUGAACAAAGUGGAAGUAAAAGUGAAACAAAGAUUACCUCAUCAACAAUCUUGGGAGAUGGCAUAUCCCCAGCCAAAUCUACCACCUGUGGCUCCACCACUUGUGAGGACUUCUCCUUAUCUGAGCGAGAAGACUUUGCCACAACGGACAAACCCAUGGGAGCAUUUGCAGAACUCAAAAAGCAACAAGUCAAAAACCAAUAGCACAAGCAACCAAUAGCACAAGCAAAGGUAAAACAUAAAAAAAAUGUAUUACCUUCUGGUUCGACGUUUGAGGGGUUGACACCCUGGGAAGAAGGUGGCUCAUCCAUUGGUUAUGAUGAGGAUUCUGGGACUGAAGGUUUCUCUUUAAACGUAGUCCCUUCAUCAGCUGGUUUGGAUAAAGCAGCCUCAGCAAAGGGUGAUGGAGCAAGAGCUGCCAACACCAAAGUCUUCGAAGGAGAGGCUGAGCUUUUCUGAGAAAUCCGAAUAAACCAUCAGCACAUAGAAAAGUUUCAAGUAUAGAAAGGUAUGCUUGUGAGUAAACUAAUUUAAUUACCUUUCUUCUAACAAUGAGAGGAGUGUCAUCAUCAUCAUCAUCAUCCUCCUCCUCCAAAAUGGAAAAUGAUGAGGCUGGCCGUUUGUGGCUUGGGACACUUUUAGAUGUAGUAGGCUUAGCAGGAAAAGAAGUAGAUGGACGAACAAACUGUUUAGCACGAGCAGAAGAGGAAGGACUCCUAAUGGACACAGGGGUGACCAAAAGAGGGGAAGUGGAAGAAAUGUCCGGCUGAUCUAGUGAAUGGAAAGCUCGAUUGGCAUCAGUUGCAAACAAUAUGCUCUCAACUGAUGGCCAGAGUUGUUCAAAAAGGGGAUGGGUGGCAUGGCUAGGAUUGAAGGGAGCUAAUGAAAAGUUACUCGUCAAAAGAAUAUUGCAAGCAUUUAUAGCUUCUGCCUCUGCCUUAUUUAUGGUGUAGAAGCGAUCUAUCAAAUUUCUUGAAUAACAAGGAGGAACAGGCCAAGUUUGGCCAAAACCAAGUUGACGAGCAAAAAAUUGGGGAGCAUAUAUUUCAACCCCAGCUUUGGCAUUAGUUCCAGUCAAAAUAUCAUGGAACAACUCCCUCCCAGUCAAAAACUGAACCUAAACGAGCAGAGAGGUGCUCGCAUUGUCCAAGGUAGAUGGGGGAUGCACAUAAUCAGGAGUUAAAAAGGGAGGAAAAGGAAAGAAAGAAGGAAUUGAAUUCAAAGUAUAAAAGAAUGAAAAAAUAUCCCUUUUGGACAUAUGUACAGGGCUCAGUGGGUCAAUAGCUAGCCCAUAGCAAUUAACAAAAUGAAGGGAAAGGGAUAGAGCACCAAGUGAUGGAAAAUAGGCUCUCAACCACAUUUGAGUGAACCAAAGAGGCCCACUGCCAGUGGGAGAUGCACCAUUCUUCAAUUGGAAUUGGAGAGAAGCCAUGCCUCUAUAGAGGGCGGCCAAAAAGAAAGAACACAAAUUCAGAGGCCUACCACACAAACCAAUUCAUGCGCUAUGGGUAAAUAGCUCAUAGAAAGUUUCAGGCUUGGCACACACAGAAUAUAUUUACAAAGUCAAAUCUGAAGAAAGGCCACACGUUCAACAUGAGAAGGCUCAGCGCUCGAGUGAUUAUAACAGCUUUGCAGACUUGAAUAAGACUCGGUGAGUUUUUUGUCAAAUUUUAGGGUGACGCCAGAAAUCAAAAUACCAGGAAAAAUGGUAUCGUCCAAAGGUGGCAGAUUUACUAAGGCCCCGAAAUCCCUUAAAGUAAUGGACAUGGGACCAAGGGGGAAAACAAAAGUAUUAUACUCAGAAGACCAAAAACUUAAAGCAAUAGGGAAAAAGCGCUGGAUCAAAAGUAGGGGGUUGAAGAGAGAUUUCUAGUAAAUCAGAAAUCCUAGCACUAUAAAAAAUUGCCUUGGUAGGACCAUGGUCCACAAAGCGAGCAUGCCAUCUACGAAAAACAACAUCAGAUUUAGGCCAAGUGCGAAUACCUCUUUAGCGAAGCGGCCUCAACGACAAAGAGUUUGGAAACGGAGGGCCUUGAGUACAAGGAAAUGGCUGGCCCGUCGCCACUUGUUCGACGGCCUCGGCAUUGUUGAAUGAAGGACCUAGAUAGAACUCGUUGAGUUCGACAUUGGCUGGUGUAAGGAAGUUCGGAGUUAUAUAUGGCUGAGUGAGGAGUUUCUAGAAGUCUUCGAAACUGAAAGAGUCACCAGAUUGAGAUUGUGAAGCAGCCAUUAGGAACGAAAUAAAGCUUUGUUGAAGUUUGCUUGAGAAACGUAGCAAAGAAGCAAGAAGAUGAACAGUAAUAUUGCAAGAGAGAAGCGCGAAGCAAUGAAGCGUGAUUUAGUAGUGCGAUGAAAUGGCGUGUAUUUGGGGAUUAUAAGGGUUUGCAACGUCCCACCUUUGCAGGCUAUGGAAGAAAAUAAUGAUUGAAAUUCUUGGGAAUUUCAAAUGUUGCUGGGAAACACAAAGUGAAUAUGGCAAAAAUUAAUAAUUGGUAUUAAUUCUGCCAUAUUGGGGGGUAAUUGUUGACAUGCUAAGAGUGCAGACCAAUUCAAAUAGCCCAAAGAAUGAAGUCCAACUGGGCAAUUCAGAAUAAAGGCCCAAAUAGGGUUAUUAAUGAAUGCAGUGUAAGCCCACGAACGCAGUAACACCAUCGCCCAAACUUACAAGACGCCCAGGAUCUGAGCGAAUAAAGUGCCUUGCAGUCGCUCAGAGUUGUAACCCCGUUCUCGUCCAAACCUUCGAAUCGCCCAAGAUCUUAGCAAACAUAAGGUAUUAUGGUUAUCCAAAAGUACAAUUAUCGAAACAGUUAUUGGGUAAUCUUAUCACGUCCACGAUUCAAGAAGUUCAGUUGAAGACGGUUGAACGACAAAGAGUAGUGGCAGCAUCUAGAGACGACAGUUCCACGAUAAGUUGGCCAUCAUGAAGAAAGUGGGCAGUUAUAAAGUAAUUAAGCAGUUUCUAAGCGGUUGAUCACAAAGAGAGCAUCAAGGGAAUAUAAAAAGGAAGAAAAGACAUAGAGUAAAGGACCCCGAAUCAAAUACUCUCAAACAGAGAAUAUGUAAUUUCAAUUUCUUAGUUUAGACUCAAAACAUUUCUUUUCAGUACUCGUGUGCUUGCGCCUCUUAGAGGCAUUUCUGUUUAAGUUCCAAUUGUAAAGUCAUUGCUAAUAAAACACCCCUUUUUGUGACUUUAUCUCAAGAGGUUUGUCCCUUACACAAUCAUCUGAUCCCUUUUUAAUUGUUAGUGACUACCUGCGCGAAACAAUUGGAAUCUUUGAAUGUGCUAAUUCGAUUAUUCACAAGUUUUGAUAACUAAAUUCAACGUUUGGAGAGUUUGAGGACCACCUUGGACAUUAUCGAAACUUGGAAGACCAAAUUUGAAGAAAAUAAAAAGAUGAAACACUUAAGUGAAUGAGGUUGGAAGAUGAAUGAUCAAUAUGGAUCCAAAAUGAAAGUGAUAGGACUGAAGUUAGCUAAUGUGGGAGCAUGGAGACUAUAAAAAAGUGGACAGAGGACUAAAUUGUGUAGAUUGGAAAGUUCAGGGACUACAGACCUAGUGAAAUAUUUAGCGACAGUAGCUGAAGCUGUCUCAAGUGAAAUUUUUUUCCCAAGAUAGUAUAUUAUUGUGAUUUUCAGGUCAAAUGUGAUGGUUCAAAGAGUAUAGAAAUUAGAGCCCUACUUCUUGGCUAGGGUUGGAGACAGGGGAAAAACAAGCCACCAUGUUUUCAAGUCGAAUGUGAUGGUUCAAAGAGUAUAGAAAUUAGAGCCUUGCUUCUUGGCUAGGGUUGGAGACGGGGAAAAAUAGGUGCCCUCCUAUUGGGGGUGCGGCUGUUGGGCCAUAUGGCUUUUCUCUAGAAAUUAUCAACCCGACACUUUGAAAGAAAAUAUAAAUGAAAAUAAUGAAGAAUUAAAAAGAAAUAUAGCAAAAUUGCUCGGACCUAGUUAAACAGAGUAUGUGCUUGCUGGGCGAAAGGGGCACCAAAUUUAUUCAUGAAAUCCCAUUGUUUGAGAAGAAGCCAUUUAAAAUUUUGAAAUUAAAGUCAAAUAAAAAUCUUUUAAUUAAAAAAAAUAAUAAAAAAUUUAAUAAACUAAAGUCAAAUGAAAGGUUUUGUUAAAAAAUAAAAAAUAAUAAUAAUGCCUUACCUAGGUGUGCCAAGGCAAAGUGUUUUGCCCAAGUCUCUUGCCAUUAGGCGUGCUUUUUAUAACAUUGAAUACUAUGCAAUAUUAGUAAUACGUUACAAAUCACGUUCCAAUUAAUUUUCUUUAGUUAACUUAAAUGUGUCGUCUUAAAUUGUAUUAUGGUAAGUAAGGGUCAUUUUUCCACAGAGGAUUAAUUCAAUUAUAUCAAUUGCGCAUUAAAAAGUAAAAUUAAUAAUAAUAUACGAAAUAGAUUAAAUAGGGGGCUUUGGUUUGUUGAAUUAAGGAAAGCGAUAAAUUUAAACUAGAAAAGACUUGAAAUUUGAAAUAAACAAAUUGAUUCUUGAUUGAAUGUGAGAAAAUGUGAUUGGGGGAUAUUUCGUCGCCACGAGAAUGAUUUUCAUGUCAAUAAUCACAAAAGAUUUUCGUUCUCAAAAUUAACAACAAUUCAAGAAUAAUUACAAGUUCAAUUACCUCAAUCUCUUGUUACAUGUUAAUCGAAUAAAACAAGUUCUUUACUCAACCCUGUUAAUUAAACAACUUAGAACAAGCUCUCUAGAUUUAAUUUAAGAAACGCAUUACGACAAAAGAGAUGAAUUGAAUUAAGGGUUAACUCCCAAGCUCGGUUUACUAACUUAAGUGUUAAUCCACAUACACUCAAUUGAAAAUUCUUCAUAAUCUAUUGAAAUAUAAUUGCUACUAGGUUUUAGAAUCAAUAGCUAUUACAUACUACUAAUCCCAAAAUAGCAUUCAUUGAAACAACUUAAUUAUUUAGUUGUACACCUAAACAAUCAAGAAGAACAAAAGAAAUAUUUAACACAAUGGAUUAAACACAUUAAUUAAGAGAAUUAUAAAGCACAAAUUAAUUGAAAAUCAUAACUCGGAUUUGAAAUAAUCCCCAACCACAAAUAUAAUUAGUUACCCAUGAAAUAUUCACAAAUAACUAACAAUUUCUUAUAAAACAUUGAUGGAAAAAGUGAAAAGAAAAACUUAUUGAUAAAGAGAGAAAAUGGUAGAAAAUCCUCCAAUAUCAAUGGGUCAUCUUCUCCAAACUAAUGCAUCAUCUCCAUAUUCCAAUCUUCCCCAAAAUGUCUAAGAAAAUAUAUGUAAAAGGAAAAGGAAAAAGAAAGAAAACAAAAGGCAAGAAGAAGAAGAAGAACCAGUUGCACCCUUAGAGUUACAAGAAUGAAAAUAUUGUGUUUGGUUGAAUGUUUUAACCUAAAACCUAAAGGAAAUUGCAGCAUUGGUCCCUGAAAUUUUGAAAACAAUUAAAAAUGGUCCGGGUGGCGCCUGGACACCACAGUUUAUGUUUUCUACGCCCAGCCUGUUAAAUUUUAUUUCAUUUUUUAAUAGAAACAUCCUCUUUCAACGUCUUCAUGCUUCCUUUAUCUUUUUCGUCUUUUUUCGCAUAAAUACCUUCAAAUCAUCGUUCAAAGUCGGAUUUUCGUCUACACAAUAAAAAUAACUAAAUUAAGUAAUAAAUCGCUAAUGAAACUCACAAAUAUCUAAGUUUAAUGGCCAGGAAUAGUAAAAAAACCCGCACUUAUCACACCCCAAACUUAAAUCUUUGUUAGUCCUCGAAAAAAACUAUACAAACAAGCAUAAAAAUACUUAAAUUAAAACCAAAUGAUAAUACUAUAAUAACAAACACUCCAAAUGUUAGAUAAUUUGCCACUUACUUCAAGUCUUACAUUAUGCAACUAACUUAUGAAAUGUUUACAAAAAUGCUACAACAAACACUCUUCUACUUAUACCAUGUUUGACUUUUGUGUGUGUGAGUGGUCAUUCUAAUUCCGACCCUCAAUAGUCAAAUUUUCCUUUCUCACUCAUGGGAUACACACUUCCCCAAAUUUGAUAUUUUCAAUCUAGCCCAAGGUGUCAAGAACUUAAGGUUGCCCUCAAAUCACUCAAUCUUUUCCUCUCAAAUUUGGUUGGGUUGAACCGAUAAAAUAGAUCAUCUAGUCAUGUAUUAAUUCGCCAAUUUUUUUUUUAAAUGCUUAGACCACAAACUUAUAUUAGGCAAAUUACUCACAAUCCAUCAAUUCUUCAACAAAAUCACCCCUAGAUGCUUAUAGCAUCCCUUUUAUUUUUCUUCAUUUUUCCAAUGUAGGUAGUUCUUGCUCUGAUACCUAAGGGUAGCCUUCUUCAUUCGUAGAUCGUCUCCUACACAUUAGUGAUGCAUAGGACCAAAUUACUUAAUGCUGACUCAUACUUCUUAGGGUAGGCAACUUUUUCCUACAGAUUUUUAUUUAUUUAUGAAAUAUCACUAGAUGGAAAACAACAUCUAACUUUCAUUUGAAGUCUAAGAACAUUCCACAAAAUCAAUCACUGAGUCGGGAAUUAAUACAAUUCUAAAUAAUUUCUUUCACCGGUUCAACCACUCCCAAACUUAUCCUUUCAUUGGUGGAGUAAUUGAAGAAUUUCUAAUAGUAUGGUCAUUUAAGUUCGUCAACAACCUACAAGUGCAACCAACAAGUGCGUGUGAUGAACCUCAUGACCCAAGUGCUCAAUAAAGAGUCAAACAUGGAAUAAAUGGAUGAAAAUAAACAAUACUUAGCAUUCAUGUUCCCAAUUCAUAAAUCAAUGCAAUGCAAUACUCAAAUUGCAAUUGGCAAAACUAUCAAACAACACAAACAAGCAUAAAAACAAGUGUUUAACCUGAAUUUUUAAGUUUUUAGCAAAAACAAAUUUAGCACAAACCACAAGAUUCUACAAAAAAUUUAGCACAUACCACCUCACCCCAAACUUAAAUUGCACAUUGUCCUCAAUGUAAAAGCAAAAAUAAAUAGAAAGCGCGAGAGGUUCAAAUACUCACCUAGUGGUGUUGACGGUGAUGGCUGUAAUGAUGGUUGGGGACCACUGGCGACAAAAAUUCACAAAAGCAAAAAUAAGUGUCCUCUCUCAUGCUUCUUCGUUUGGAUCCUCCAGUCGCAUUUUCUCCAUGUUUUGUGGUACGAAAUCGAUGCCCAUUCACCUUAAACUCUUUCUCAGCCUGAAGGCUUUUGAUUUCUACUGCACCAUGAGGAAAGACAUUAAUAACAACAAAAUGGUCAAUCCAUCGAGAACGUAAUUUACCUGAAAAUAACUUGAGGCGUGAGUGGAAAAGAAGAACUUUUUAUCCAACAGCAAAAGCCUUUCUUGAAAUCAUUUUAUCAUGGUACGCCUUAAUUUUUUCCUUGUAAAUUCUUGAACUUUCAUAGGCGUCAUUUUGAAUUUCCUCAAGUUCAUUGAGUUGAAGCUUUCUUUGAUCACCUGCUACACCUAGGUUCAUGUUGCAUUGCUUGACUGCCCAAAAUGCCUUGUGUUCGAGUUCAACUGGGAGAUGACAAGGCUUACCAUAAACUAACCGAUAAGGGGACAUGCCAAUCGAUGUUUUGUAUGUCGUCCUAUAAGCCCAGAGUGCAUUGAGGCGGAGACUCCAAUCCUUUCUAAUGGGAUUCACAGUUUUUUAAGGAUGGAUUUGACCUCUCGGUUAGACACUUCGACUUGCCCACUAGUUUGCGGAUGGUAUGAUGUAGCCACUUUAUGGGUGAUGUUGUAUCUUUUCAAUAGGGCCCAAAAGGAACGGUUGCAAAAAUGUAGUCCUCCAUUGCUAAUAAUAGCUCUUGGUGUUCCAAACCUUGCAAAAAUGUUGGAUUUAACAAAAUCUACAACCACUUUAGAAUCAUUAGUUCGAGUGGCCCUUGUUUCACCCAUUUUGACACAUAAUCAACGGCAAGAAUGAUGUAAAGGUUACCAUAAGAUAAAGGGAAAUGUCCAAUGAAAUCAAUGCCCCAAACAUCAAAAAUUUCAACAAAAAAUAUGGGUGUUCGUGGCAUUUGAUUUCGGGCUUCCAACGCACCUACCCUUUGACAUCGAUCACAAGAUUUGCAAAAGAGGAAUGUAUCUUUGAAUAAGGUGGGCCAAUAGAAUCCACUUUCAAGCACCUUGAGAGCAGUCCUCUUUGUUCCAAGAUGUCCACCACAUGCAUAAGAGUGACAAAAGGUAAGUAUUUAAUGAAAUUCAUUUUCAUGUACGCACAUUCUUAUCAAUUAAUCCGGACAAUGUUUUCACAAGUACGGCCCAUCCCACAAAAAAUACUUGGCCAUCGCCUUGAGUUUUUGCCUUUGAGCGGUGGUCAAGUCACUUGUAAUUUUCUUAGUGAUUAAAUAGUUCACUAUAUCCGCAAACCAAAGAGAUGUGUCCAUGAUGAGAAGCAAUUGUUCGUUGGGGAAGCUUUCUUGCAAUGGGAAAGUUUCUCUCUCAUGGAUAAGGCGACUGAGGUGGCCAGCCACAGAAUUUUCACUCCCCUUUUUGUCUUUAAUAUUAAGGUCAAACUCUUGUAAGAAGAGUAUCCAUAUAAUGAGCUUUGGUUUUGCCUCUUUCUUGGCAAGCAAGUACCUAAGAGCUGCACGAUCAGAAAAGACAGUUACUUUAGUGCUAAUAAAACAUGAACGAAAUUUCUCUAAGGCAAAAAUAACUGCUAAAAGCUCUUUUUCAGUAGUAGAGUAAUUGAGUUGGGCAUCAUUCAAAGUCGUUGAUGCAUAAUAUAUAACAUGAGGUGUCUUUCCAACUCGUUGUCCUAAAAUGGCCCCCAAUGCAAAGUCACUUGCAUCACACAUCAACUCAAAUAGCCUGUUCCAAUCUGGUGGUUGAAUGAUGGGUGCUGAUGUCAAAAGUUCCUUCAAGCUUUCGAAUGCCUUUUUACAAUCUUCAUCAAAGUGAAAUGGCACCUCCUUUUGAAAUAGCCUGCAUAGUGGUCUUACACAUUUGGAAAAAUCCUUGAUAAACCUUCGAUAAAAUCCUGCACGUCCAAGAAAAGAACAAACCUCUCUCACACUUGUUGGAAGAAGUAAAGAACGAAUUAGAUCAAUUUUAGAUUUAUCAACUUCUAUCCCCUUAGAAGAAAUGAUAUGGCCUAACACUAUGUCUUGAUCGACCAUAAAAUGACAUUUUUCCCAAUUAAGUACUAGGUUAGCAUCCAUACAUCUCUUAAGCAUAAGUGUGAGAUUUCCAGGCAACUAUCAAAGGUAUUACCAUAAACACUAAAAUCAUCCAUAAAGACCUCAAUGAUGCUUUCAAUAUAAUCGGAGAAUAUACUUAUCAUGCAUCUUUGAAAGGUUGCGAGAGCAUUGCAAAAGUCAAAGAGCAUGCACCGGUAAGCAAAGGUUCCAAAUGGACAAGUGAAUGUUGUUUUCUCUCGGUCCUCCAGAGCAAUCACAAUUUGGUUAUAACCUAAAUAACCAUCAAGAAAACAAUAAUGAGAAUGACCUGCUAACUUUUCCAACAUUUGAUCAAUAAAAGGUAAGGGAAAGUGAUUUUUUCGGGUUGCACAAUUAAGUUUUCUAUAAUCAAUACAAACCCUCCAACCCGUUUGGACCCGAGUUGGUACAAGCUCAAUCUCUUCAUUCGUCACCACUGUGAUUCCAGACUUUUUGGGAAGAACUUGGACCGGGCUUACCCACUUGCUAUCGGAGAUGGGAAAGAUGACACCAACAUCUAGUAAUUUCAAAUUUUCUUUUUUCACCACCUCCAUCAUGGGAGGAUUCAAGCGACAUUAUGCUUCUUUUGAUGGUUUUGCUCCAUCUUCAAGUAAUAUCCGGUGCAUGCACAUAGAAGGGCUUAUCCCCUUGAUAUCAGCUAUUGUCUAACCAAUAGCUAUUUUGUGUUCCUUGAGCACAUGGAUAAGCCUAUCUUCUUGAAGUGUUGUGAGAUUCUUUACAAUGAUCACCGGUAGUGUUUCCCCCUCUCCCAAAUAUACAUACUUCAAAUGCUUGGAAAGAGGUUUGAGUUCCAAAGUGGGGGCCUGCAUCACCAAAGGUAAAAGUUUCUCUUUAGAUAUCGGAAUAGUAAUAUAGGAGAGAUCAUAUCUUGGUGGAAUACUUGGUAGUGACUCAAGUGAUGCCAUGGUUUCUACAACAUCCUUGCACACUUGUAAAUUCUUGCUCAACCCGAUGAGAUUGUUAGCAUCGAUGCUUUUAAUCAAAGUGGUAUCCAAUGCAUCUUCAUUUGAUAAUUCAAAAACUUUUUGUACUAAUGAAUCUAUUAUAUCAAUUGAAAAACAAGUAUGGACAUCACUAGGAUACCUCAUUGCUUCAAAGAUGUUGAAGCGAAUAAUCUCACCAUCAAACUCCAUUGUCAAUGUACCAUCAUGCACGUCUAUCUUUGUACACGUAGUCCUCAUAAAUGGUCUUCCCAAGAGCAACGGUGACGAAGAAGAUGUUGGUUCAUCUUGCAUGUUAAGAACAUAGAAAUCUGCCAAAAAAUCAAUUGAUUUACCUGCACCAAAACAUCUGCCAACACACCCUUUGGAAAUGCAUUAGAUCUAUCACCAAGUUGAAUAAUAACACUGGUUUCUUUAAGUGAUCCUAGAUUUAAGAAAGCAUAAAUAGAAUAUGACAUGACAUUAAUAGAUGCUCCUAAAUCUAGCAUUGCCUUUUCAAACCUAGUGUUACCAAUAAUGCAAGGGAUGGUAAAACUUUCAGGGUCCUUACAUUUUGGUGGAAGUUUUUUUUGCAAGACCGCUGAGACAUUUUCCCCUACACUUACCACUUCAUUACCUUUCAAUCUAUGCUUUUUAGUGCACAAAUCCUUGAGGAACUUUGCAUAACGAGGGACUUGAUAAAUUGCAUCCAAAAGUGGUAUGUUCACUUGAACCUUGCGAAAAGUCUCUAAGAUUUCUUUCUCAUGUUCAUCCUUUUUGGACUUUGCAAACCUGCCAAGAAAUGGAAGGGAGGGAACAUAAGCAGGAAUAGAACUUUUAGAUCCUACCUUAGAUCCCGCAGUUAUAGUCGUAGCUUCAUCUUUUUCACAUGCUAAGUUCUUCUUUUGCGUUGACUUCUUAACUUGAUCUUUCAUUUUCUUUGGUGCCUCUUCCAAAAUUUUCCCACUUCUUAGUGUCAUGGCACUAGCAUUUUCUCUAGGGUUGAUUGCUUGAGAAUGAAGUUUUCCCGAUCCUUGAACCUCCAAUUUACCCAUCUUUUUGGCUAAUUGACCCAUUUGUGUCUCCAAAUUCUUAAUUGAUGUCUUUGUCUCUUGUUGAAAUUGUAUUGUACUAGAAGCCAAAGACUUAAUCAUAUCCUCAAGAGGCAUCUUUGAACUUUGGGGUGGAGUUUGUUGACGAGGUUGUGGGUAUUGUGGUUGCCUUUGUUGAUUAAACCCCGGGGGAUGAUUAAACUGCGAUCGUGGAGCUAUGAAAUGAUUUCCUCCAUAACUGAGAUUAGGAUGAUCUCUAAAUCCAGGAUUAUAUGUGUUAACAUAUGGAUCAUAUCUCUAUCUCUGUUGCACUGGAAAUCCCCCAAUGGCAUUCGCUUGCUCCAAGGCUCCUUCUUGCAGUGUCGGACAUGCCUCAGUAGGAUGUCCUACAAUAGAACAAAUCCCGCACACUUUUACUUGUUGCAUUGUCCCAAGUGCCAUUUGUUGCACAAGCGAUGUAAGACCGACUAAUUGUCGUUUAAUUUGAGAGGUUGCUCCUACCUCACUUACUUGUUUUACCGGUGCCGCUUCUCUACUACCAAAUUGUUGUGAGUUUGCGACCAUGUUGGCUAUCAAAUUCCUAGCAACUAUCGUUGUUUUAUCCAUUAAAGCUCCUCCACUGUCCGUAUCAAUAUACUUCUCUCCAUCGGAAGCAAUCCUUCGUAGAAAUAUUGUAGAAGUAAUUGCUCACUGAUUUGGUGAUUUGGGUAACUAGCACAUAGCCUUUUGAAUAUCUCCCAAUACUCAUAGAGAUUUUUCCCUUGAGAUUGUUGAAGGCUGCAGAUUUCUUUCCUGAUGUUUGUAGCCUUUGAAGCUGGGAAAUACCCCUCCAAAAAGAGCUUUUGCAUUUCAUUCCACGUGGUAAUAAGAUCGACCGACAAAUAAUAGAGCCAUUUCUCAGCAAUGUCUGCAAGAGAGAAAAGGAAUGCACGCAAUUUCACUUGCUCUUCCGAUAUACCCGACAAUUUCAUGCUUGAGCAAACUACAUAAAACUCUUUCAAAUGCUUAUUUCGAUCAUCUCCGACGAAUCCAUGAAAUGUGGGAAGUAGAUGAAUGAUCCCGAACUUUAGUUCAAAUCCCACAUCCACUUGGGGAUAUUGAACGUUGUUGAACAAAAGUUGGAGCUGCAAGUUCCUUUAAGGUUCGAUUUGCAUCUGCCAUUUUCGGGCUCUAUGUGGUCAGAGUCACUUGAGGAUUUAUUGCUCAAUCGCCUUAGAUGUCUAGUUGGAGAAAUGUCUUCUCCACUUCUCGAUGUGUCGGUCUCUUUUCUUGAUCUUAGGUUAUAGUAUGUUAUAGGCUUUUUGCUCAUUCAUAACCCAAAUGACAAAGAAAAUAACAAAAAUCAAUAGAAAAACAACAAAAUGAAAAAUAUUGCAAUUAACAAAUUGAUAAAACAAUCCCCGACGACACUGCGCCAAAAUUAAUACAUUACAAAUUACAUUCCAAUUAAUUUUUCUUGCUUAACUUAAACGUGUCAUCUUAAAUAGUAUUAUGGCAAGUAAGGGUAAUUUCCCGCAGAUGAUUGAUUCAAUUAUAUUAAUUCGCACUAAAAAAUAAAAUUAAUAAUAAUAUAUGAAAUAGAUUAAAUGGGGAGUUUGGUUUGUUGAACUAAGGAAAGCGAUAAAUUUAAACUAGAAAAGACUUAAAAUUUGAAAUAAAUAAAGAAAAUGUGAUUGGGGGAUAUUUCGUCGCCACGAGAAUGAUUUUCAUAUCAAUAAUCGCAAAAGAUUUUCGUUCUCAAGAUUAAUAAUAAUUCGAGAAUAAUUUCAAGCUCAAUUACCUCAAUCUCUUCUUACAUGUUAGUCGAAUAAAACAAGCUCUUUACUCAACCCUAUUCAUUAAACAAUCUAGAACAAGCUCUCUAGAUUUAAUUUAAGAAAUGCAUUACGACAAAAAGAGAUGAAUUGAAUUAAGGGUAAACUCGCAAGCUCGGUUUACUAACUUAAUUGUUAUCCACAUACAUUCAAUUGAAAAUUAUUCGUAAUCUAUUGAAAUGUAAUUGCUACUAGAUUUUAGAAUCAAUAGCUAUUACGUAUUACUAAUCCCAAAAUAGCAUUCAUCGAAACAACUUAAUCAUUUAGUUGUACACCUAAACAAUCAAGAAGAACAAAAGAAACAUUUAACACAAUGGAUUAAACACAUUAAUCAAGAGAAUUAUAAAGUACAAAUUAAUUGAAAAUCAUAACUCGAGUUUGAAAUAAUCCUCAAUCACAAAUAUAAUUAGUUACUCAUGAAAUAUUCACAAAUAACAAACAAUUUCUUACAAAGUAUUGAUGGAAAAAGUGAAAAGAAAAACUUAUUGAUAAAGAGAGAAAUGGUAGAAAAUCCUCAAAUAUCAAUGGGUCAUCUUCUCCAAACUAAUGUACCAUCUCCAUAUUCCAAUCUUCCCCAAAAUGUUUAAGAAAAUAUAGGUGAAAGGAAAAAGAAAAAGAAAUAAAACAAAAGGCAAGAAGAAGAAGAAAAACCAGCUACUUCCCCAGAGUUCCAAGAAUGAAAAUAUUGUGUUUGGUCGAAUGUUUUAACCUAAAAUCUAAAGGAAAUUGCAGCAUUGGUCCCUGAAAUUUUGAAAACAAUUAAAAACGGCCCGGGUGGCGCCUGGGCGCCCUAGUUUCUGUUUUCUGUUCGGUGCCCAGUCGUCUGAAUUUUUAUUUUUACUUUAAUAGAAACAUCUUCUUUCAAUGUCUUCAUGCUUCCUUUAUCACGGCGCCCAACUCGGUGAAUUUUUUUUUAAUAAAAACAUCAUCUUUCAACGUCUUCUUGCUUCUUUUAUCUUUUUCAUCUUUUCUCGCAUUAGUACCUUCAAAUCAUCGUUCGAAGUCGGGUUUUCGCCUAUAGAAUAAAAAUAACUAAAUUAAAUAAUAAAUCGCUAAUGAAACUCAUAAACAUCUAAGUUUAAUGACUCGAAAUAGUGCAAAAACCCGCACUUAUCAAUUAGAGUGCCUCGCUUGAUAUUAUCAAGAUUUUUUUAAGGGUGUGUUUGCUUACAUUUAUUUUUUUAUGAAAAACAUCAGUUUGUCACUCAAAUUCCUACUUAGGGUGUUUGAUUGCUAUUUUUUUCAUGGAAAACAUUUUUCAACUUUUGAAAAUAUGCCUAAUUUUCUUUGUUUUUAAGAAAAAUAUUUUUCUUGGGUGGAGGUAGUUUUUGUUUUCCUCAAAAGAAAGAAAACCUUUUUUUUAGGUGAUAUUUUUCAUGUUAAUUAAACGUACUUUAAUAGUUUUUUAGUAUUUGAAUUUUGGAAGUCUUACUUAAAUUACCAUACAUACCCUUUAAUAAGAUUCUUUUAGCUACAUCAUACAAAUGUCAUGUCUUAACUACAUGUUUGAAUCCAAAUUCCAACUUACUCUUUCACUUGAUUGAGGGAGAAAAUUGAGCUCCUAUUUGUCACCCAUUAUUUUGAAAAUUAAAGAGUAUUGAAUAGUAUUUUUUAGAGAAUGUGUGGUUAAAAAGUAAAUAAAAUUUAUUGAUUUGUAUGUAAAAUAUUUUAUUGUAUGAAUACGUGGGGAAUAAUGAUAUUAUAACAAAUAAUUUAAAAUUUUAAAGAGUGACAAACAGGCUCUGAACUGUGAAGUUGCGAUUUUUUUCGUUUUGUUGUUUGACGCUAUGUAUUAACUAGCAUAUGGGAUCAAUGAAAGUCGAAAAUGCGUCAUAGUUCGAUACAAUUUGAUUUUUGUAGACAUUAUGCGGAGGUAAAAUUUGAAGUAAAUUAAGAUUGAUUGAUUUAAUUAGAUGGUCCAAAUUAUAAUUUGCCCUAAAUAAAGGGUUCGAAUGCAAAAUGAGUGAAUUAGGAAGGCAAAUCUUUAAAUUGGAGGAACUUUUGGAGAAAAGAACAAAAAACCUAAAAAUAUUUGAGUGCUUUAUGCGCCCUGCUUGGCCUCCUUUCAAAAAAUGGAUAGAAUAAUUUUUUUUUUUUUAAAUGAGUGAUUGAAAAAGGAAGAAUUUUUUUGAUUAUUUGUAAUAUUAUUUUAUGGAAGAUCAUGUGGUUAAAAAUAAGAGAGAGGAAAAUGAAAUAUAAUUUAAUAGGGCUAUAUGAACAAAUUGAAAAUUAUGGUCUAAAUUCAAUAUUAUCUGUAAAGUAUGGGUCUGAAAUACAAAAUUUCCGUCCCUUCUCAUUCUUUCAUCCCUCAUUGGUCACACUCCAUGUUCUUGGCCUCUACCCAUUCUUGGAAUGAUUUCCACUCGCACUGAGCAGUGAUUCAUUAUUUCACCAAAAUACUGCAAAAUCAUGAAACUGUAUGCCAUUCUGUUGUUCCUUUUUUUCAUUAAUUCUGUUUUUUCUUGGAAAAAAGAUGAGUUCAGAAACUGCAAUCAGACCCCAUUCUGCAAACGUGCCCGAUCCCGGAAACCCGGCGCGUGCUCUCUCAUCGCGACCGAUGUCUCGAUUUCCGAUGGAGAUCUUACAGCGAAACUCAUCCCCAAAGAUAAGGUUCAAGAAAAUCUUGAUAAUCAAGAAAUUCCUAUUGUUAAGCCUUUGGUUCUCGCAAUAUCUGCAUACCAAGAUGGUGUCUUGAGGCUCAAGAUUGAUGAGGACCAGAGUUUAAGCCCACGCAAGAAGAGGUUUGAGGUGCCUGAUGUGAUUGUGCCAGAAUUUUUGAACAAAAAGCUGUGGUUACAGAAGUUAAAAUCUGAGAAAAGUGAAGAUGGGUUGGGUAUCUUGUCUGUUAUUUAUCUUUUUGAUGGGUAUGAGGGGGUGAUUCGGCAUGACCCCUUUGAGGUUUUUGUGAGGGAGAGUGGCAAAAAUGGGAAAAAGGUGUUGUCUUUGAACUCAAAUGGUUUGUUUGAUUUUGAACAGCUGAGGGAGAAAAAAGAAGAAAAUGAGGAUUGGGAGGAGAGGUUUAGGAGUCACACUGAUACGCGGCCGUAUGGGCCUCAGAGUAUUAGCUUUGAUGUAGCAUUCUAUGAUGCGGAUUUUGUUUAUGGCAUUCCGGAACAUGCCACUAGUUUAGCCUUAAAGCCAACUAGAGGGCCUGGAGUGGAGGAUUCUGAGCCAUACCGGCUUUUUAACCUUGAUGUGUUUGAAUAUAUUGCUGACUCGCCUUUUGGGCUUUAUGGUUCCAUACCCUUCAUGAUCUCCCAUGGGAAGUCGCGUGGGAGCUCUGGGUUUUUCUGGUUGAAUGCUGCGGAAAUGCAGAUUGAUGUUCUGGGGACUGGUUGGAAUGAUGAGUUUUCUUCUGUUUUAAUGUUGCCUUCAGAUCAAAAGAGGGUAGAUACAUUGUGGAUGAGCGAGGCUGGUGUGGUGGAUGCAUUCUUUUUUGUUGGUCCAGGGCCGAAAGAUGUGGUUAGGCAGUAUGCUAGUGUAACUGGAACGCCAGCAAUGCCACAGUUGUUUGCUAUUGCUUACCAUCAGUGUAGGUGGAAUUAUAGGGAUGAAGAGGACGUUUACAAUGUAGAUGCCAAAUUUGAUGAGCAUGACAUCCCAUAUGAUGUUUUGUGGCUUGAUAUCGAGCAUACGGAUGGGAAAAGGUAUUUUACGUGGGAUAGGCUGCUGUUCCCUAAUCCUGAAGAGAUGCAGAAGAAGUUGGCUGCAAAGGGUAGGCAUAUGGUCACUAUUGUGGACCCUCACAUUAAGAGGGACGAAUCUUACUAUAUACACAAGGAGGCGUCUCAAAAGGGAUAUUAUGUAAGGGAUGCAACUGGGAAGGAUUUUGACGGGUGGUGCUGGCCAGGUUCAUCAUCAUACUUGGAUGUGGCGAAUCCUGAGAUUAGGUCUUGGUGGGCUGAAAAAUUCUCCUAUGAGAAUUAUGUUGGUUCAACUCCGUCCUUGUACAUCUGGAAUGACAUGAAUGAACCUUCUGUCUUCAAUGGUCCAGAGGUAUGCCAUUUCAUUUUGAUCCUUGAUACUACUUGUUUCAGUUUGCUAGGAAAUGUAUCCAUUGGUUGCCUUUCUUUGUACGAAAAGAAAAAUCAGUUUUAUUUUGUCUGCCACAUAUAUGAUAGUUUAUUUGGUAUGCUGAUUGAAUGAUGGUCUCUUGUGCAUACCUCUUAGUUAAACUUAAGGCUCAGGACUUGACACAGAUUGUCUAAACAAAAAGCAACAUAAGUCCACUGACUGCCUAAUUGUCACUAUGUAUGGCUAAAAUAAUAUCAAUUAUUAUGCAAUAUUUCCAUCGCAAAAGAAAUGAAUCAUGAAAAUUAGCACUUUCUUUGAUAGAGAGCAUGCUUCUCUCUCUCUCUCUCUCUCUCUCUCUUCCAUGUGUGCCUAGGUUGGGGAUUUCAAUCCCUACCUCGUUGAUAGAGAACGUGCUGACAUUCAAAACUGUCAGAAGGUGGGAAUCUUAAAUCAUCUUUUUAGUGCAGUUCUUGAGAUUUUUUCUGCUGAAAUAUAUCUCCCUGUUUGGGUUAAUGCCUGGCAGAUGUAUGGUGUCUGGCAUGGGCAGGGAAGCAGGACCCCAAGGUUCCGAAAUUUUGAAUUUUUUCCCCUUUCAAAAUUGAAAUUUCAAAAGAUCUUCUAAUAGAAGUACUGUUCACCUGCCAAAUAGUGUGAAAAUCCUGAGUUCCCUUCAAUAUAAAUCUAUGGUUUCCAUAUCCUGGAUCCCCACUGGUUAAGAUUCUUUUGUUGUAAUCAGGUCUCAAUGCCCAGAGAUGCUUUACAUCAUGAUGAUGUUGAGCACAGAGAGUUGCAUAAUGCCUAUGGUUACUACUUUCACAUGGCUACUUCAGAUGGGCUGGUUAAACGAGGAGAUGGAAAAGACAGGCCAUUUGUUUUGUCAAGAGCCAUUUUCCCUGGAAGUCAAAGAUAUGGAGCAAUCUGGACAGGGGAUAACUCUGCUGAAUGGGAUCACCUGAGAGUUUCUGUUCCGAUGGUUUUGACUCUUGGUCUUACUGGGAUAUCAUUCUCUGGUCUGUGAAAUUUCCUCUACUUACAAUUACCUCUACCCAUACGAAUCUUUUCAAUUCUGAUGAUACUAGAUCAACAGGUGCUGAUGUUGGUGGGUUUUUUGGUAAUCCUGAUACCGAGUUGUUGGUCCGCUGGUAUCAAGUGGGAGCGUACUAUCCCUUCUUUAGGGGACAUGCUCAUCAUGACACUAAAAGACGGGAACCUUGGCUGUUCGGGUAUGAGAUUUGGCUCUCUUAUAAAAAUAGGUGCUAUUUGAGGCAUAUAUUAUUAGCUUGUAUUUGGAUGCAGUUUCAUAUUGUCUGCUUUCAAAUUUUAUUCAUCAUGAAAGUUGUCUCACUCUUGCAUCAGAUCUAGUAAUUUUUUUCCGAUCCCGUUCCCAUAAAAAAGUCCGUGUUUUCCCAUCAUUCUUCAGUUGCAUUAAUAUUUAUAGAUUUUUGACUGCAUAGUCACAUAUUUUUCAGCAUCAUGUCUUAGACCCAUCUUGUAGUUGUGUUUGUGAAAUAGCCAAGUCAUUAUUUUGAGCUUGUCUGUGAAAAUUGUCUACUGUUACAUCAGAUCUAGUAUUUUUAUGCCCAUAUCUUUCCAUAUAAGAAUCUGCAUUUUCCACGGUUCUUUAGUUGAUCUAUAUUAAUGAAAUUUUGAAUGCAUUCUUGUCUGUUUCAUAUCUUCGAGCCCUCUUGCUGUAAAGUUUGUGAAAUACCAUGUUUAAGCUUUUUGGAACAUGCAACCCAUAUAUGCUUGUACUUAUAAUUUCAUCACUAAAUAGAUUAGCUCCAGCAUUCGCGUUGUAAGGAUUAAAGCCAAUAUAGUGCAUGAGGUUAAAGUGAUAUGCUUGAAUUUAAAAUGUUGAUAAUUUGAGUGUGAAUGUAACCUUUUACUAAUUUGAAAUUAGGAGAAAUAACAACUUUUUAAAAUUCUUUAGGUUAUAUCGGCUUAAUCAUCUUUCUGCUGGAUCAUGAUGUUGAAAAGGGGUAGUUAUCAUAGUGGAACAUCAAAAGGUAGUAUAUCUUGCUUGAACCUUAUUAAAAAUCUAACCUUUCUUCCUGCGACCUGAUUACAUGGUUUCAAAAGCUUGCUAAGAAUCAACAGUCCUGCUUGUAAAGAAUAAAAAAAUAAUUCUGCUCGACAUACGAAUAAAAUCCUUAAACAAUCACUUUAUUAAUACAUAAAAGUUUUCAAAAGGAAAAGAAAAUUUCGAAACAACAUAUUAAAUCUUAAAAUCUUCACAACCAAAAUAAUUUGAUCAUCAAAACAUAAAUAAAUCUUACAUAACUUUAUUAAAAUGUUUAUUAUCCACCAUUGGGUGCUUGUCCAAUCUUCAUCCAUCUCAAACACAGUUAAUUAUUACUUAAAAAAAUUUCAUGAUUCAUAUGAGAUGAUGAUCUCAAUAAGUGAAAUAGCAUGAUAUGAAUAAUAGAAGUCCAUGCAAUUCUUGAACAUACUUGAUAAGACACGAAAUUAAUAAAAACCGAACUUCGUGGUUCUAAUUUCGUGCGUAGCGUUACUAAACUCCAUGACUUCAUAACAUAAUCAUAAUAUCGAAUUGUAUAGUUUUAAACAAUGAAAAUACAUGUAUUUCACUUACCUCGAAUUUGAUGAUCCUAUUAGCACGUAGGAGAAUUAAUCAUUUUAAUUACGGUAUGUUAAUUACCUUUUUGGUUUUUGGUAAGAUUGAAUAAGAAAAGGAAAGUCUCCUUAAUUGAAUCCUUCAUUUAUGGUAGUUAACAUAUAUGUACAUAAUAUAUAUGGUAAUUACCUUUUCGGUUUUUGGUAUAAUUAAAUAAAAAGGAAAGUUUCCUUAGCCCUUGUUUGGUCCCCAUUACGUGGAAAAAUUAAUGUGUAGAAUAGUGUUUUUUGAAAAAUGAGUGGUUGAAAAGGAAGGAAAAUUUUUCGAUUUACGUGUAAUAUUAUUUUAUGGAAGAUUGUGAGGUUGAAAAUAGGAGAGAGAAAAAUGAAAUGUAAUGUAACGAAAAUUAAUGAGGCUCAAAUGGGGACUUAAUUAUUUCUUUUAAUUAUGGUAGUUAAAAUAUGUACAGAUUAUAUAUGGUAAUUACCUAAAUUUGCAUUCAAUUAUUCCUUACCAUGAUAAAAACAUGCAAUAAUUAUUUCUUACCAUGUACGUGGAUGCUACAUAUAUAUGCCAUAGUCCCUCAACUAUGGACAGGUAUAAAACUUGACCUCCAAACUUUCACAAAUAUUCGAUACGAUCCCUAAAUUAUAGUUGAUGUGUAAUUUGUCCCUGAACCUUAAUCUCUAUAUAAAUUGGUCCUUAAACUAUGGUUAUUGAGCAAUUUGGUCCCUAUACUUACGUUAAUGACAUUUAGAGAAUUUUAGUUUAUUAUACUGCUUCUCCUGGAAAUAUCAACUACAUCCUUUUUUUUCUUCAGCCUAAUCAUAACCUAAACAGCCACUACAAAUCCAAACUACUAUGAGCAUGAUUGGCUAAGCUUAAAAGCUUUGCCUAUUUUAAACUAAAUAAUACUUCUACGGAUCUAAAUUGGAAAUAAAUAAGUUAUUUAUUUUUACAGUAAAACAAGAUUUACUAAUUUUUAUAUAUAUGUCACCUGUGGGUGGACCUGCUAUAAAACAUCAUUUAUGGAAAUAAACCAUUUUUUUUUGGUAAUAGUUAGAUAUAUGAUUGAUGCACUCAAGAACCAUUAUCCAAAAAUUUAUCUUGUAAUUGCUUAUAAAAAUAUACUCUGUGCCAUGUGGGUCUUACAUAAAGGAACUGGAGUGGUGUGAUGGAAGUUGUAAGCUGUUUCUGGGGUAGGGUUGUUGCCUACACCUGGCAUUUAUGGUAGAACCUGUUGGGCCUGAGCAGCAAUACUUUACUCUGUGACGGAAGUCAAGUGUCCAGGUCGACUAUCCACUUGUUACCAAAUUAUAAUCUUAGUUGAUAGAGAGAACAAUAUUUCAUUAUAGUGAAAUGCAAAGUGGUCUGAACCUCAUCCAGGCAGUCUAAGAAAAGUAUGGAACAAGUCUAGGACGUGUAGAUGUCUGAUGCUUAGUUUUCACUAUGUUCUUCAUUUUCAUGCGUAAGCCUGAAGGAUGAAAAUGAAAGCCAUCCUAUCAAUUGACACAAGUUAAAAAUAGUCAUGAAAAGUUUUAAUGAUCUCUUAAUCCAAAUUCAAAUGAUGCUUAGUCAUGCAUAUCUAAUGAGUCUUGCAGUCCUGUUUUUCCCAACUCACUAGAAUUUAGUGAAGAAAGAACCCUGUUAAAUAUAAACGAUACUCAUUGAUUUCUUGAAGUAGCAAACUUGCGACGCAUGGAAAGAUGGAAGCACAUCAUUUUUCUGCCAGUUUGCACGAACAUGUUGUUGACAUCUGGGAUAGGUUCUUAUAAAGUUCACACAGUACAUUAGUAUCAAAUAUCAAUCUGCUUUGCCAUCUAGCUUAAUAUGAAAGCCUUUACCUUUAAUGAGGACAUUGGAUCACUGGCUAACAGAAUUCAAAGAAAAGAGAGAAAUCUUGAUAAGACUAUAAGAUAGGAGGAAUUGCAUGAGGGCAUAUUGGGACGCUCUGCAGUCGAAUCACUUGUAUAUAUUCUCUACUAUUAGUUCUAUUUUUUCAUCUGCUCUAUGGCAAUUGAUUAAUUUGUUAUUAGUUCACCAAAAAUGCAUUAUUAUAGUAAAAUAUGUUCUUCAUUUCCAUGCAUAGGAAGUAUAUUAAUAUUGAAAUGUUUUGUUACAUGGUCAAAAUCUUCUUCCAUUGAUUUACAUCAAAAGCUAUAAAUCUAAUGAUAUUAUUUGCAAUAAUAAUGAGAACUUCUGAUGAGAUUCGGUGAAAUGUUGAAAUUUUCUUCAACAUUUUUGUGCACGCGCUUUAGAUCUAUGAUAAAAAUAUAAUGUUGGGAUGAUAUCCCUCAUUCUUUGGUGAUCUUAUUAUCCUCUCCAAGGUUCAGAGCUACAAAUUAUACGCUUUCCUUUCUGUCUUGUGUAUGAGGUGAAAUGUUGAAAUUUUCUUCAACAUUUUUGUGCAUACGCUUUAGAUCUAUGAUAAAAAUAUAAUGUUGGGAUGAUAUCCCUCAUUCUUUGGUGAUCUUAUUAUCCUCUCUAAGGUUCAGAGCUACAAAUUAUACGCUUCCCUUUCUGUCCUGUGUAUGAUAUAACAGUAUCUGGUUUAUGUUGGUUUCAGAGAACGCAAUACACAGCUAAUGAGGGAAGCCAUACAUACCCGCUAUAUGUUUCUCCCUUAUUUCUACACAUUAUUUAGAGAGGCGAACAUGAGUGGUGUUCCUGUUGUGCGUCCACUAUGGAUGGAGUUUCCAGAUGAUGAACAAACUUUCAGCAAUGAUGAGGCGUUCUUGGUUGGUAACAGUCUCUUGGUGCAAGGAAUAUAUACUGAGGUGCCAUUCUUAUUUUGUCCUUGGUAUCGUUGUUUGCUUCAUUCUAUAGUCUCUAAUUUUCUUUCUGUUAUCAUGAAACAUUCCAAUUGGAAACUUCUCAUAGAAAGCUAAGCACAUAUCCGUGUAUCUUCCUGGAGAUCAGUCAUGGUACGACGUUAGAACCGGAACUGCAUACAAGGGAGGAGUGACUCACAAGUUGGAAGCUUCUGAAGAUAGUGUUCCUGCUUUCCAACGGGCUGGUACAAUUUUACCAAGGAAAGACAGGUUUCGUCGGAGUUCCACACAAAUGGAGAAUGAUCCAUACACUCUGGUAUGCCUUUAAAUCUUUAAGUGGAUCUGUCGUGAAUUCUUAUGGUUACAUCACUUCCUUCUCUUUCUCUCUGUCUCUCUUUCUCACACACGCUCACAAGUGCACAUGCUAAGGUGCCUAUCUAUAUCAAGAGAUCCAUCUAUGAGUUCUCAUAAUCUGACUAAUCUUCAUAUUACUUACAUAUAAUUGGUUAGAUAAAUUUUUCUCCAUUAAAUAUAUAGUUUUUUUUUCUUAUUUUACCCACAGGUACUAUUUUUACACCAAUUUAGCCACUAUACUUGCUUGUAUUGACUUCCAUCCACAUUGGCCGUCAAAGGUCAAUAGUAGUAAACACACAUGAUUCCUCUACUACAGAAUUGGAAAUUUGUUUUUAGAUGAUCUUCCUCAAGUCAAUCAUAGCACUGGAUUCUGUUAUAUCCCAAUUUGAAGCGUUUGUAUUUGCUUUUGACACCUUAUAAUUAUUAUAGAAGAACUCAAUUCAAUCCAAUUGUGUUGUCUCAGAUUUGUCUGGGGUCAGCAUUAAAAGAAAAUAUUAUCAAGCCAAUUUAUACAUUACCUGAUGUAAUGACUUCUUUAUCCCAGUGGAGUCAUGUUGUGGGGAUGAAACUUAGCUUCCGCCAGUGUCAUGUUCUCUUGAGCUUUACUGUAUCAUUUUGAAGGUCUUUGGAGAAGAGAAGGCAUCAAUAAAUAAUUUUUUUGGAAGUUUAGAUUUCACAGAUAUAUCAGCAAAUGAUGAGGAAUUUGUUCGCUAAAUUUGAAAAUACUUUCAUUUCUGUGUCGCGGCAUUGUGGAUAUCACAUUCAUUUUAUAGCUUUGAAUGAUUGCAAAAAGAGGACCAAAUUCAUUUAGCUCAGCGUCCUCUACGAUUUAUUAAUACACCAUGUGUGAAGUCCCAAAUUUUUACAACUAGUUAGAAUUAAAGUUAGGAUUUAAGUGCGCUAUUAUUAAAGUUUAAUGACCUUAUUGAUUUAUUGUUCUAGUCUAAUGACCUUAUUAGUUAUUGACCAAUAGUUUGAGGGCCUAAGUAGAAAGUUAUUUUGAAAGUUAGAUGAAAUCAUGUAUAAAACAUAUGUAAAUAUGCCAAUCGGUCUUGAUUAAAAAUGAUUUAUUGACAACAUGUAUUAUUCACACCAUAUUUCAAGCCAAUGUAAUUUAUUUGACCAUGUAAAUAAAUGAAAUUGAUUUGACCACACGCAUUAUUUACACCAAGUUUUACGCUAGGUGAAUUUGUUUGACUACAUGAUUAAAAGUAUUGAUUUGACAAUUUUCAUGAUUAUACAUCAUUUAUGUAUUGAUCAUGCCUAACAUUUAGCCAUUUCCUUUCUCUUUCCUACUAUUGUUCAAGAAUUUUCACUAUAAAUAGGAGACAAACCCAACACUAAACUACCCUUCAACAACUAUUGCACACUCUCUCUACAUCCCUAUAACUUUGUCUCUCCACUCCCGCUCUUUCUCCUGUCAUUUUUAUAUUAAAUAUAGUCGUAUAUUUAUACAAUCAGACAUAAAUAAUCACCCCCACAUGCGGCUCAAGGAUUUCUUUUCAACAAAUAACUCACUUUAUCUUUUUGAAUUGUCCAUUGAAAAGGUAAGUUGUACUUUAUGCUUAUGGUGGCUAAUGUUUAUGAUGUAAUAUUUCUACGGCUAUGUUACCAUGAGUAGCCUUGACAUUGAAAUGAACUUUCAAUGAUUCAAGUUUCUGUUCUUUGCAGGUCAUUGCUCUUAACGGUUCCCAGGCAGCUGAAGGGUGGCUUUAUGUUGACGACGGGAAGAGCUUUGAAUUCCAGCGAGGAGCAUAUAUCCAUCGCCAUUUCAUUUACUCUGAUGGAAAGCUUUCAUCAUAUUCAAACAUGGCCUCUGCAGGUUUUGGCAAAUUUGCCUCCGAGUGCAUGGUUGAGAGAAUAAUACUUCUAGGAUUUUCUCCUGGAACGAAAAAAGCCUUAAUUGAACCAGCUAAUGAAAAGGUGGAUAUCGAACUCGGGCCCCUCCUGCUUCAAGGGGGACUGGGCUCAUCUGUUCUCACCAUCCGCAAGCCUAAUGUGCGGGUAACAGAUGAUUGGACAAUUAAAAUUUUGUAAGAUACUUCUUAGUCCAACAUAGUCAUCUGCAUCAGGUGGAAGGACCUUGUUAGUAUCAUGCUAUUGAAUUGAUAAAUGAAAUUUUCGGCCGCACAUUAAGUGAGAGAACGACCUUUUGGAGCAAUAUAGAUUAGUAGGCAAUAUAGAUUCUGUAUGCUACAACUUAUUCCUUAUUUCCUAUUUGCAGUUUUGAAUUUUGUGUUGGGUUGCAGUUCUUGGUGCUGGAAAAUUGAUUCACGCUCACUAAAUAUGUUGCAAGUGAUUGUGCAAAUUGAGUUUAAUAAUCAUGCAGGAACUAAAAUCUACAUAGCUUCAUUCCAGGCUAUAUAUUGUUAUAACUUGAUAGGGUGCAUUUCUCCUUUAAAACUGACUUAUAGAGGAGUGUUCAAGGUAUUAUUAGCCCACAAGUUGAUUAUGUGGGACAAAAUUAGAUCAACUCUCUUCUGAAAAUUGAUCCAUUGUGGUCUAUGCUGUUAACUAGUUGAUUUUUUGAACCAGUUGGACAACCCUUUUCAUGUUGUUCUGUCUGCAGCGAGUGUCAUCCCUACAAGGGUGUGUAGGAGUAAAAAUUACAGUCAUUACAUGAAAGAACAAAGGUUACAAAGCUAAGGCAAAAUCACCAUUACGAGGAAACUACAAGCCUGAUAUUAGGAAGUAAAAAUGCUUAAGAAAGGAAGGAAAGGUAUUAUGAAUAGUAAAACUGAUCACUUGGUGUUACUGUAUUUCCUUUGUGGUUGGUGGGCCGAGGUAGAAAAAGAGUGGUUAUGAAGGAAUGUAAGAGAAAAACAAAUCACACGAGAUAUCCACCAGUCUUUCUUCUCCUGUAUCUGUUUCUUCUAUUUCAUAAAGCCCGAGACUGAGCAAUGAUAGGUUCUACACCAAUUAAUGGCUCCUAUCAUCAUUAUUUAGACUCUCUUUUGAGGCUGUAAACUGUUGUAAAGAUUUGAAUUUAUAUUAUUAUAUUCUAAGUGUGUGGAUUAUUUUGUUUACUUUGUGCAAAUUGUAUAGUUGGUGUUUAAAGGAAUAACCUUUGUUAUAAAUUGUGAACUUAAUGAUACUCCAUUGACCCUGUGUGAGUGUGUGUGGCCAACGUUGAAAAGGUAUAUGGAUUUUAUUUUAGUCCACUUUGUGAGGUAUUGAACUAUCUUGUGCUAAUGAUACUGGCGCUUUAGUCCCUAUUUUAUUUUUUAAAUAGAUUUCUCUCGUUUCCACCGUGAGCUCGAGUUUUGAUUAUUUAUAGUCUAUUCUUGCCGAUCUUGAAUAUGCAUAAAUGUAUCCCAAAAACUAACAGCAUUCAUUGAAUAAUCAUAGUCAAGCCUUUAAUUUCAUCUUAAUAAUGCUAUCUAACACCAGUUUAGGUGGUACUAUAUGAUAGACUCAAUGAAAGGUGAAAUUGAGUGACACAUUUAAUUGUACUUAUUAUUAGUAUCACAGUAGUGUCACAUAAAUUGGUGUCUUAACACCAAAUGUCCUAAAUAGCACACUCAUUUCAUCUAGUCUAUCCGGUCGGGUAAAAUAAUUAUAUUGUAACAGUUCAUUUAAACCUCAGAGUUUCAUAUGUUGGGAAAUAUCAUAACUUGAUCUGGUUAUGUAUCCACGUAGUUGAAAGUUGGAACCUCUGGUUGCAGGUAUAUUUGUGUACAGCCAGGUGAAAGAACAACCAGUGAAAGUGGUUUCUUUAAGGGGUUUGACUUCCUAAUUGAGUGGUGGGUCAUCCAUGCAGCAUAACCUAAAUAUUCCUUAAUUUUUUGGCAAUCAGCUAUUAACCUGCCCACAUUCACAAUUCAAUUGUGAACUUCCAAUUCAACAACUGAAUGAUGAAAAUUGGUUAAAUCAUGCAAGAAGAUGAAGUCCUAAGUUACUAUCAGAAUCAAUGUGGACCUUCCUCAGUGCUAAAAGGUGACGACUCACUGCAAAUUCGGACCAAAAAUCACUGGUUAAUACGAAAACAAUCAAAUGCUUUUUGAAUGAAUCGAGAACCAUUUGAAAUAAGAAUGCCGUCUAAUAUUUUCGAGUGCAACACUAUUUAGCAUUGCUUACCAAAUAUGCACAUUAAUUUUGACCGUACUUCAUAAAUUGUAUAUAAAGAUUCAUUAAUAAUCUAAGGUAUGACUCAAAAGCAUCAAUUCUCUUUCAAUAGGAAUGGAUGGGAGGCUUGCAUGUCUAAAUGCAGUACAAAGUAUACUUUACUUAAGAUACAAUAAGAUUUUAUAACUUAUAAGCAGUGGUUUAAAGUCAAUUUUCUCUCUAUAUAAGCCUCAGGCAAACACUGUAUCAAGUAACACCCUCUUUGUACAUAGUUUCGUUCCUCAGAUUUUGAGGGAGAGGGCAAAAUAUUUGCAAAACCACUAAUAAUUCAGUUAUAUUUCAGACCUUUUCUGUUUUCUUUUAAUGUUACUUGUAAUGUGGACUCUUCGUUCAACACAAACGCUCCAAACACUCGACUCAUGCAUGUGUUGAAAGGCCUAAUCUUCUGUAUUGAAAACGACGUCUGUCCAUGGCAAGUUGAUUACUAUGCUUAGUAGGCAAAAGUAGUCUGCAUUGUACAAAUCGGUUAGUCUUCGACCUGAUUGAUGGGGAGUGAAGAUGAAUGUGCGGGUGUGUAAGCGUUGACGUUGAUAAAUGUUCUUCAUUGUUGUGAUUAAAUGCUUGAAGAUUUUGUUUAGUACAAAUGACCUGUCUUUUUCUAUUGGGACCACGUUUCACGUGCUUUUACAUUUUUAGUUGUCGAAAUUUGUCAAAAACUGUUAUAUAUACCACCCUCAAACCUUUACCCUAUGCAUCUUAAAUUUAGCCAUUGCAAUCCUGUUCAGGAGUAGCAUUUAUGGUCUUGAAAUAGUUGGUAACAAGUCUUCUGAUAUAAACUCUCUGGUAUUUUGUACUGAUAAAACUAUUCUUCAAUAUAUUGUUCUUGCAAGUUCUUUCCAACAUAGUUUGUGUUAUUGCUGUCAAAAAAAUCCUGCAGCAAGAAUUUACAAAACUCGAACUCAUUGACUGAUAGAAGUGUGUACUUCUGGCUUCCUUCGAAAUACAAGAUGGGAGAGAGUGCUGCCACCAAUAACCACCGCCAGCACGGCCAAGCAUUUGACAUUUCUGUCGACGUGCCACCACAUUUUAGCUCCAAGGCUAUUGAUGAUGAUGGUCGACCCCAAAGAACUGGUACAUAUCCCUCAACAUCCUAUCCACCCCUUAAUAAGUAAUCAAAGAUAAUCACUAUUUAAGUCUCCUAAUGUUUAUUUCUCUCUUUGUAGGGACUGUUUGGACUGCCAGUGCACACGUAAUAACCGCGGUGAUUGGAUCCGGAGUGCUUUCCUUGGCGUGGGCUAUAGCCCAGUUGGGAUGGAUUGCCGGUCCAACCGUGAUGUUCUUAUUCGCCUUUGUGAUUUAUUACACCUCAACUCUCCUGGCUGAUUGUUACCGGUCUGGGGAUCCCCUAUUUGGCAAGAGAAACUAUACUUAUAUGGAUGCUGUUCGGUCCAAUCUUGGUACACUACUAUACCUAGAAAAUUCAUCAGUGUGACAUGAAUAGUUCUCCUAAAAGUUUGUUCAUUUUUCUUUAUUAGGCGAAUCUAAAGUAAAGUUAUGUGGCCUAAUUCAGUAUAUGAAUAUUUUUGGAGUGGCCAUUGGAUAUACAAUUGCAGCAUCUAUAAGUAUGAUGUAAGUAUAAUUCUUGAAAGAGAUUUUAUGUUUAAUCUCUUGUAGCCUUUGAAUAUAAUUUGGUAUGGCUAUUGCAAUGAGCAGGGCUAUUAAAAGAUCCAAUUGUUUCCAUGAGAGUGGAGAGAAAAAUCCAUGUCACGUAUCAAGUAAUCCAUAUAUGAUUGGAUUUGGGAUUACACAACUACUAUUUUCUCAGAUUCCUGAUUUUGAUCAAAUAUGGUGGCUCUCAAUUGUUGCUGCUGUCAUGUCCUUCACAUAUUCUUCAAUCGGAUUAGGCCUCGGAGUUGCAAAAGUUGCAGGUUCCUAUUGUUCGGUUUUGCAUAAUUCAGUGAUUCAAAAAGUUGUUUGAUUAAUUACUAAACAUGGUUAUAUUAAUUUCGUACUACACAGCUAAUGGAACCAUAGGAGGAAGUUUCACUGGAAUAAGCAUUGGAACUGUGACUCAAGCACAAAAAAUAUGGAGGAGUUUCCAAGCUCUUGGAAACAUUGCUUUUGCAUACUCAUUUUCAAUCAUCCUCAUUGAAAUUCAGGUAUUUAUUCGAAAACAUUAAGGGUAUGUUUAAUACUAUCAAGUUCACGAGAUGAGCAUUCCGUUUCUUCGUCUCAUAAUAAACAGGACACAGUCAAGUCCCCACCAUCAGAGGCAAAAACAAUGAAGAAAGCCACACUAAUAAGCACUUCUGUAACAACACUCUUCUACAUGCUGUGUGGCUGCAUGGGCUAUGCAGCAUUCGGAGAUCGUUCCCCCGGUAACCUCCUAACCGGAUUUGGAUUCUACAACCCGUAUUGGCUUCUCGACAUAGCAAACGCGGCCAUUGUAAUCCAUUUAGUCGGAGCCUACCAAGUUUACUGCCAGCCACUCUUUGCCUUCAUUGAAAAGUAUACAGCAGAAAAAUGGCCAGAAAACAAGCUCAUAGCCAAAGAUAUCAAAAUCCCAGUUCCAUUUUUCCAACCAUAUAAUCUAAACCUCUUUCGAUUAGCCUGGAGAAGUGGAUUCGUAAUUUUAACCACUGUUAUAUCAAUGCUUUUGCCUUUCUUCAAUGAUGUUGUGGGAAUUCUUGGGGCAUUUGGAUUCUGGCCAUUAACUGUGUAUUUCCCAAUAGAAAUGUAUACUGCACAGAAGAAGCUAGAGAAAUGGAGUUCAAGAUGGAUUUGCCUGCAAAUGCUGAGUGUUGCUUGUUUGAUAAUUUCAGUUGCUGCAGCAGCUGGUUCCAUUGCUGGUGUGGUGCUUGAUCUUAAGGUUUACAGGCCAUUCAAGACUAGCUAUUGAGUUGCUUGAUCUUAAGGUUUACAGGCCAUUCAAGACUAGCUACUAGAUUAUUAAUAUGUGAUUUGAUGGUGUUGUUGAUAUGUACUUUUGUUUUGAAUUUGUCUGCAAAUAAUCAGCAGCCUCAUAGUAAAAAUGGCAAUGAAUUUGACCUUUGUUCAUUCCAUAUUUAAAACAAGCAUUUGAUUUCACAUUGAAUUUUUUUAUGCUACUUAAAUUCGACAAGUGGAUCUACGUAAACAGAUUCUGUCCAAAAAAAUAAAAAAAUAAAAACAAUUUCUAACUAAUCCAUCUCAUGAUUUUUUUUUCGAAAGAUGAUUAUUAUUACCUAAAUAAAGAAACAACAUGAUUUUCGCCGAAUAUAAAUCUCCCUUUCCAAAGCUCCAGGAGAAUGUUCUCAUGAGAAAGAGUAUAAUAGUUUCAAAUGCAUUAUGAUUACUAGAUGGCUAAUAUGUUGAAUGGAAAAACAAACGGUUUUUGUCCAGUAAGGAUCCACAUAAAUUAAAGAUCAAGGGUUGGGGUUGUGGGUGCCAGAAUAAUUUAAUUCAAACUCAAAUGUUUAAUUUGUCAAAAUUUGAGGACUUUCCUUGUAAAUUUUCGAAAAAAAAAGUGGGACACACCUAAACUGCACCACUCACUCAUUAUCAUGAAUUGCAUGCAUAAAGAUAAGCUGUAAAUGAAUUUGUGUAUAUGUAGAUGCGUCAAUUUUCGUGGAUUUUUAUCUAUGAGGUAUAUAAAUUUUCGAAAGUUGUUCUUAAUCAACAAGAAGUUUUUAUUGUUAUAUUGUAUUUUUUAUAGGAUCGCAAUAAAUUCAAAUUUUUUUUUUGAUAACUUAUCAUAAUUCAAUUUAUUUGUCCUAAAUGUUAGGAAAAUGAUGACAACUUCAAUAUAUACUAUUAUAUACAAUACCUUGUUGGUAUGAAUAAAUCAAAUAUUAAAUUUAUGUCUAUUAAUUCAAUUCUUAAACAUGUCCAACUUAUCAAAAAUAUUUUAUGAAUGCUUCCUUGAGUUGGGUUAUAAAGUGUUCGAUAAAUUAUUAAAAUCAGGGCUGUGUUCCUGCGACAUGGUGGUUGGAACACGCUAUUCAAAAUUAUCAGAAACAGUUCACAACCUGCAUGGGGAGACCGCUGCACUUAAGGAUGAACAGUCCUGGCACGGAAUGCUAAUUGAAGGGGUGUCACAGCAGCUCAACAAUUUAGCAUCAAGCUAUGAUAGCCUAGUGCAAAUUACAACCAAACUCAGCUCAGGGGAAGGGACUUCAAAUAAUACAAAAACAAAUACUAAUCCUCUGUUUGAAGCAAAUGGUGGAAUCCAAGCUUGGCCCCUGUUUGAUUCCCAUUACGUAGGAAAUUUAAUGGGAGGAAUAGUGUUUUUUUGAAAAAUGAGUGGUUAAAAAAGAAUGAAAAGUUUUCGAUUUAUGUGUAAUAUUAUUUUAUGGAAGAUUGUGUGGUUGAAAAUAGGAGAUAGAAAAAUGAAAUGUAAUAGAAUUUAAUGUAAUGAGGCUCAAACAGGAGCUUGAUCUCUUCGACUGGAUUUUCCUCGUUUUGAAGGAGGAGAUCCCAACGAAUGGAUCCUAAAGGCACAUCAAUUCUUUAAAUAUUUCGACACUCCAGAAGCUCACAAGCUGGGAAUUGCUUCCUUUCACAUGGAGGGGAAGGCGCUGACAUGGUACUCUUGAUGGAAAGAGUCAAAUCCGGUGGUCACUUGGGAUGGAUUCUUGUUGGCUCACCGCACCAGAUUUGGACCUUCAGCAUAUGAAGAUCCAGUUUGGGCAUUUACCAAGCCGAGGCAGACAGGGAGCGUUGAGGAAUACCAAACUGCCUUCGAACUCCUGUCCAACAAAGUAAGUGGGGUAAGUGAAGAUUUUCGCAUAAGUACUUUCCUAAGUGGCUUAAAAGAUGAAUUACGAAUUAUUGUCACCAUGUUCAAACCAAAUACCCUCUCGGUUGCCUUUGGUUUAGCACGAUUACAAGAAGAGGAGGUUUUCCUGAAGCAAUUUCACCACCAAAAUCACCCAGCCCAAAACAGUUCCCACGCAGCCUCAUUCAAGCUUUCCCAUCUCAGAUUACCAGCACAAAAUCCCACACCCAGAUUACUAGCCCCUAACCCAGUACCAAGACUUCCAGCCCCACCAACCCUAAGACUUAACCCACCAUUCCACAAAAAAACCCCUUACCCAAUUAAACGCACAAGUCCCAAUCAAAUGCAAGAAAGAAGAGAGAAGGGCCUAUGCUAUUUCUGUGAUGAAAAAUACCAUCAAGGACACAAUGUAGCAGACCCAAGCUGUACCUAUUAGAGGGACUAGAAUUUGAAGAGGAAGAAGAGAAAUUGGAGGCAGAAGAGACCCUUAACCAGCCAAAUACAGCAAUUAUACUUGCGGGGCAACAAGUUGAAUUAUUGGGCAUAUCAUUACAUGCUAUUGCAGGAGUACCUUCGCCCAAGACUAUGAGGUUAGUUGGCAAAAUUGGCACUUGUUCAGUUAUUGUUCUUGUUGAUACUGGAAGCACGCAUAGCUUUAUUGAUGUAAAUGUAGCGAGGAGGGCAAACCUACCAGUGGAAGAAGGCCACCUGGCAGUCCAAGUUGCUAAUGGAAAAUAAGACCAAUGUUAUUGGGUGAAGUGCAAUCAUCUGGGAAAAGAUUCCUUGCCUUGGUUGCUGUAAGGCAUUUCUCUUAAAGAUGCAAAGUUGUAAUAUUCUAGCCGAUCUAUUUUUAUUAACCCUAGGGGGUGUGAUGUUGUACUAGGGGUAGAUUGGUUGAGAAGUUUGGGGACUAUUCAGUGGAACUUUGCUAAUUUAAGUACGAGUUUCUUUGUGGAAGGGAAACACAUAUUUCUACAGGGUCUAAAGCUGCCCGAGAAGGCUAUAGAGGAGGAACACAGCUUAAGCAAGGCUGCUAUAACAGAAGGAAGAGGACUAUGGCUGCAGAUAAUGGAGAUCAGUGACCAACCAGGAAAGGCACCAAUAGAGCCAGCCAUACAAACUGUUUUGAAUGAUUUCAACAGAGUGUUUGCUGAACCCAGUGGACUCCCACCUCCCAGGAAUCACAAUCACCGAAUCCAGCUCCAGGAUGCAGCCAAGCCAACAUGUGUUAAGACCUUAGCGAUACCCUUAUUACCAAAAGGAAGAAAUUGAAAGAUUCGUCAAGGAGAUGCUGCAGGCAGGGAUCAUACAACCAAGCCAAAGUCCUUAUUCUUCACUAGUCCUAUUGAUAAGGAAAGCAGACGGAAGUUGGCGCAUGUGCAUUGAUUACCGGGCUCUAAACAAGGAUACUAUCAAAGAUAAGUUUCCCAUCCGUAACAUAGAUGAAUUAUUGGAUGAGCUUAAUGGUACUGAAUUGUUUUCUAAACUUGAUCUACGAUCAGGCUACCACCAAAUCAGGAUGAAGCCAAAAGAUAUGCCCAAAACUGCUUUUUAUACACGAGGGGCAUUAUGAGUUCUUAGUGAUGCCUUUUGGGCUCACUAAUGCUCCGUCAACCUUCCAAGGGCUGAUGAAUCAGAUAUUCAGGCCAUAUCUAAGGAAGUUUGUAUUGGUUUUUUUUUUACGAUAUACUUGUGUACAGUAAAUCUAUGGAGGAGCAUGUAGGGCAUCUCAAGGCUGUCCUAGAAGUUUUGAGACAACAUCAGCUGUAUGCAAAGGCUUCCAAAUGUGUCUUUGGAUGCCAAGAAGUGGAGUACUUAGGUCAUGUUAUUUCCAAGGAAGGGAUAAGGCAAAUCCAUUGAAGAUUACAGUUAUAAUAGAAUGGCCUGAACCUAAAAAUCCUAAAGCUCUAAGGGGAUUUUUGGGUCUAACAGGUUAUUACAGGAAGUUUGUGAGAGGAUAUGGAAGUAUUGCAGCCCCCUUGACUGCCCUACUCAAGAAGAAUUCUUUUCAGUGGAGUGAAGAGGCCAGUCAAGCUUUUGUGAUAGCCAUGGUGACUCCUCUUUGUCCUUGGAUUACCAGACUUCUCAAAGAUGUUCGUGGUGGAGUGUGAUGCCUUUGGAAAUGGGUUGGGAGCUGUUCUCAUGCAAGAAAGGUGGCCUAUAGCUUACCUAAGUCAAGCAUUGAAAGGUAAAAAUUUAUUUUUAUCCACUUAUGAAAAAGAGUUACUAGCCCUGGUACUAGCCAUUAGAAAAUGGAGGCGCUAUCUAUUGGGGAACAGGUUCAAAGUCAGGACUGAUCAGCAAGCCCUAAAGCAUCUUUUGGAGCAAAAGAUUGGAAUACCAUUUCAGCAAAAGUGGAUUUCAAAACUGUUAGGUUUUGAUUUCAAUAUGAAAUAUCGUAGUGGAAAAGGAAACAAGGCAGCAGAUGCUCUCUCCAGGUUGCCCAAUGGACCAGAACCAGAAGUGAACCAUGCUGACUAUGAAGAAACCAAAGCCAUCAGUAUGGUGACAUUCAACUGGUGGGAUGGGCUCCGACAAGUGUACCAACAAGAUCCUCAGUUAAGGCAGUUGCCGGAUCACCAUCAACAAGGAAAUCUUGACCCUCUCAAGUACCAACUCAGAGGAGGGUUCUUAUUUUUCCGAGGGAGGUUGCACUUGGGAACCUUAGAGGAACAACAGGAGCAGAUCAUGCAGCAAUUCUAC